CACAAAGAAAAGGGUUGUCUUUGUAGCAGCUCGCCUCAAACGUGGCAAAUUGUGCAACUCUCGCAGGAGUCUUACCGGACAAAUUAUUGUGAGCCACACUAAAAACUUCUAUAGAAAAUAGUUCAGUAAGUCGAGGUGGGAUUUCUCCAUCCAGUUUGUUGUAGGAAAGAUCCAAGCUCUCUAUUUCUUUUAAGUUUGAAAAUGUUGGUGGAAUUGGUCCGGUCAAACUGUUGUGCGAAAGGUUCAAUGCCUUGAUCAUACCGAGGUUUCCAAUUUCAGGAGGAAUCUUCCCGGUGAAAUUGUUGCAUGAGAAAUCAAUUCCUAUGAAGUACCAUAUAUUGUCGCCUCUAUAAGAAAGGGAUACAUUCUUUGUUGUAAACUCGAAGGAUUGUUGUGAUGAGGACAUAAAAUCAUAAGAAUUAUAUAAUAGUGGGAAAGGAUGAGUAGAUAUCAUCCAAGAGAGGAUGUUACCAGAAAGGUGAUUAUGAGAAAGAUCAAUCAAGGUUAAUUGGUCCAACCUUGAUAAUUGAAUUGGGAUUUCACCUUCAAGAUUGUUAUAACUCAAGAGUAGAAAUCUCAAGUUAGAUAGCCUGCCAAUCCAUUCUGGAAUUGUACUAGUUAAAUUAUUAUAGGAAAGAUCCAAUGCCACUAUCUCAGCGGGGUCAUAAAAUGCCAUUGUGAUCGGUCCUUGCAACUUAUUUCUAGACAAAUAAACAUAUCUCAAAUUUGAAGAAGUGUCGAAUCUAGGUGGUAAACGACCGGAGAAAUUGUUCCCUGAUAAGUCCAAGAAUUCAAGAGAAGACAUAUUCCAUAUCCCUUCAGAGAUCUGCCCUUGCAAAUUGUUGUUGGAGAGGUCUAACAUUUGCAUCGAGCUAAUGUUACCCAACGAAAAAAGAAUGCUUCCAUUGAAACCAUUGUCAGACAUAAGUAAAACUGCUAACCCUGGCAAACGAGCUCCGAUUUCUGAAGGUAUUUGACCUUGGAAGUGAUUCAUGGAUAUACUUAGGAAUGAUAAAUUCACAUGAGAAUUCUUUGGCAACAAGAAUGGACCCGAAAGAGAACAGUUUUCUAAAUAAAGCACUUGUAGGUAUGUGUUGUUCUCAAUCAACCAAUUUGAAAACUUUCCCUUUAUUUGGAUGUUUGCAAGGUCCAAAUAUUGCAGGCUAAACUGAUGGUAAAAGAACUUGGGUAAUGCACCCGCAUCUUGUCCACGACCUCUUAAAUAGAGGAACUCUAACUGGACCUUUGGGCUCAGAUUAUGAUCAUCUUCUUCUGCGAAUAUUUCAUUACCCGACCCAUCAAAAUACUUGAGUUUUGAAAGGUUGUAUAAUGGGCUCAAUGACAUAGAAAUCUUCAAGUUGUUGGAAAAGAGAUCUAGGUAUUGAAAGGAAGUCAGAUUUGCCAGACACGGAGGCAAGAAACCAUUAAGAUCAUUGUCAUGCAUAUUCAGCUCUUGGAGAUGAUUUAAGUCAUAUAGGCCUGGUUACAUUAUAAUAUAGAGAAAAUUAAAACUUUGAGUGUCUAAUAGAAAAUACAUAACCUAGAGAGAGAAUAAGAGUCAUCAACCUUACCUUGAGCUGUAGGUAUUUGGCCAUCUAGUUUGCAGCUCAUCAAAAUCAAAGUUUUGAGAGGUCAUUGUCCGAUGGAUUGUAAGAUGUUGUUAUCAAGAGUAUUGAAACUCAAAUCUAAGUAUUCCAAGUUCUUGAGAUUAAGAAAGCCUGCUCAAUUAAACAAGAAAUUAUAAUCGCGUAGAAGGAAUUAAUUAUAAAGGAAAUGAAAGAGCAAGAGUAAUCAACCUUACCUUGGGUUGUAGGUAUUUGGUCAUUUAGACUACAAUCCUUCAAUAUCAAUAUUUUAAGAGAGGUCAUUGUUCUGAUAGUUUGGAAGAUGUUGUUAUCAAGAGUAUUGGAACUCAAAUCUAAGUAUUCCAAGUUCUUGAGAUCAAGGAAGCCUGUCACGAUUAAUUAAACAAGAAAUUAUAUUAGUGUAGAAGGAAUUAAAAUUAGAAAUAAUUCAUUACUUAUUAAUCAUGGCUAAAAAAAAAACAUCAUGUAAGUGUAGAAAUUGUAUUGUCCAAUUAAUAUAAGGUUUUUUUAUACAUCUGGCCCAAAAAUAGAAAUACACCAUUGUUAAUUUAUCCUCCUCCUAAAAAUAGCACUCUCUAUAUAUGAAGUUACCUUUUCAUUAAAGAAAUUAUUGUUUUUUAUGGUAUCAUUUUAUUUACAUUACACUGAAAUAGUGUUGAGAGAGAGGGGGGCAAAAUUAAAUUGAAAUAUUAUUUAUAUUAAAUGGAUUGUAGAAUUUUAAAAUAAUAAAGAUUUCAAUUGAGUUAAUUUCUAAAUUUGAGAUUUAAUUGUCUCUAAGACUUGUUUAGUAGGUUGCUAAAACAUAAAAGAUGAAAUCUAUAAAGACACCUAAUUAUAGCAGGUAUAGAAAUAAAUAAAAUGAUCAAUGAUAAGUAAUAGUGGAGUUGAAAUUUGUUAAUUUACCUUUAGAAGGUAUAGUGCCAUUAAGUUCUCGCAAUGACAGAUUUUUUAGAGAAGGCAGUGCUCCAAGGCUUUGAAGAGAGUGUUCAUCUAGAGAACAACCGUCCAGAUACAACUCUUCCAAGGAGCUCAAAUUUUGCAACUCUGUUUGUUCAAAAGUAGCAAAUUGUAUUUUUCAAUUAAACCCAAAUAUAUGAACAUCACUAUAUAUAAUUACUUACUCUCACCUAAUAUUCUUCCUCUAAAAUCAUUGCCUUCCAGGUAAAGUGUCGUGAGGUUUGGGAAUGAUCCUAAUAAACGAAGAAUACUCAAGUUAAAAAUAUUAUAAUUUCAUCAAACCACUAAUAUGAUAUAUUACACUAUUAUUUUUUUUAUAUUUUGUUUUGCUUUCCCUUGUUUAGAAAAUGCCAUAUUUUUUAAAAAUAAAAAGAAAUUAUAAUGAUUCCAAUUGAGUUAAUUUCCUAAUUUGAAUAGUCAAUGAAAAGUAAUAGUGGAGUUGAAAUUUGUUGAUUUACCUAUAAAAGGUACAGUGCCAUUGAGAUUUUGCAAUGACAGUUGUUCUAGAGAAGACAGUGCUCCAAGACUUUGAAGGGAGUGUUCAUCUAGAGAACAACCUUCUAGAUACAAACUUUUCAAGGAGCUCAAAUUUUGCAACUCUGUUUGUUCAAAAGUAGCAAAUUAAAUCUUUUAAUUAAACCCAAAUAUAUAAACAUCACUAUAUAUGUACUAUAAGUACUUACCGUCACCUAAUAUUCUUCCUCUAAAAUCAUUGGAUUCCAAAUAAAGUGUUGUGAGGUUUGGGAAUGCUCCUAAUGGUUGCAGUAACUGGAAGCUACUUCCAUAAGUUGUGAUAUUAUCCAGCAGUAGAGUUCUCAAGUUGCUUGGACCUGCAAGUUAGUUAGGGAAGAAACAAGAAUAAUUAAUAUCAUCUUCAUGAUGCUACCAGCCAAGUAGGUAAUGUGAAUGUGUUACUAAUUACCUCUUGAGGCUACCAAUUUGUUAAUAUUGUUGCCGCUUAGAUCCAAGUACUCCAAGCUGCUCAAAGAUUCUUGAUAUUUAUAUGAAAUAAAUUAAUGAAUACAAUACUCAUUAAUUGUGUUUUUGGAAAUUAAAUGUAACAGAUAAUUGUGUUAAUUAAAUUUAAUAUUUAUAAAAAUAAUAAUAUAUAAAAAAAACUAACCUUUCAAAUCUAUUAACCCCUCCAGUCUAUUAUAACUUAAAUAUAGUUCUUUAAGAGAUGGAAGCCCCUCUACAUAUGAUAGAAUACUGUUAUUGAAACAAUUAUAUUCCAAGCCAAGGAUCUCCAAAUUGCUCAAUUUCUGUAACUCAUGACCACCUAUAUAAACAAAUAAAGAAUAAAUUAAUUAAGACUUCAUGUAAAGAACAUAAAAAAGAUAUCAUUGGAGUACUAACUUAAUUAUUAUUGAUCAAGAGGCAUGUAAUUGGUACGGUGACUUUAUGUAAAGAGGUUGAGGCGGGGAAAGUGAAAGAAAGAGCAGUAAUGAUGGCAGUGAAAGUAAGAGGAAUAAUUGUUACAGUGAUGAUGUCAUGAUUUUAAUAUGUUGUGGUGGUAUGAUUAUAUUAAUAAAGUAAGGAAUUAAACAACUCCUUUUUAUUAAAUAUGCUUUCUAUUUUCUUCCAAAAUGAUACUAAUUAAACAACACUUUAUUUGAUUAAUUCUAAAAAAGUAAAACUAAUAUAAAUAUUUUGUAAUACUUAAGAGAGCAAACCUUUGUUCUUAGCCCAAUCAGCUAUACUAUUAUUCCACUAGGAGAGAACGUUGAGUUGUUGGAAAGGAAGAAACAAGGAGGCAUUGAAGUACCAAUCUCCCAUCUCCUGGUUCCUUACGCCCCCAAGAUAGAGUUCGGUGACUCGACCUGUACUGCUGUUGCAGACAAUACUUUCCCGAUCCCACUCACAGCAGUUGGGGUGGGCUAUUCUCCAGGAGGGAAGGGAGGUGCCAUUGGGAUAGUUAAGAGAAUCUUUGAGGUGCAACAGAGCGAUCCUCUCUUCCUCCAAGCAGCCAAGAGCCACCCAUCCUUGCAGGGAAACCGUUAUCACUAACACCGUCAACACCUGAAGGAACAGCCCCAUCUUAAUAUAUAUCAACUAUUACAAUAUUAAUUGUUGCAAAUGGCAGCGAGGAGGUUCAGGUUUUUAUAGAGGACUUCACGGACCCAUGCCGUGCAAAAAACUGCAAAGCUAGUUGUUUUAAAGAAUUCCAUAUCUUAAUGAAAACAAUAUAUCUCAGUAAUCUCAAUAUUUGUGCUUUUACCACGUAAGAGGUUAUAUUACUAACUCUUCAGCAACAUUAAGUAAAAGAAAUGUUCAUCAUUCUUAUAGCACUCAACAUUUUCCAUUUUAAUUUUAACAAAGUUCAAUACGAAUCUUUCCUGAUUGAUUUCAUGCCGUGUUUUUUUCCUACUAAACACCAGCUUUUUAAUAUAGUUUUCUUAUAAACAUUAUUUUUUAAAAAAAAAAUUUACAAACUAAAAGGUUGUUUGAGAAAAAAAAUUGAUACCAUGUUUUUUUUUAAUAAUUUUUUUUAUUUAAAAUAAUUUUUAUUUUUUUAUUGUUAUAAUAUAUUGAUGUUAAAAAUAAUUUUAAAAAUGAUUUUUUUUAUUUUAAUACAUAAUUCAUAAUAUCUCAAUUGAUUCAUUUAACAUUUAUCUUUAAUAUAUAUAAUUUCUUUGUUUUUUUUAUAAUACUUUUAAUCUGAAUAUCUUUUAGGAAAAAAUGCAUGAUGAAAAUGUUCACUCGGACCCAACUUAUGGAAAAAUGCAUGAUGAGACCAUCCAACAGAGCCAUCUCGUUGAAAAAAAAGAAGCAGGAUGGCGCACUUGAGGUCUUGGCCUAGCGGUUGAGGGGGCUUGUUCCCUUUCUCUGCACCAGGGUUCAAACCUCAUUGUGAACGCAUGUCAUCCCCGUGGUGUCUUACAUGCUCACUGGGUUUGCAGGAUGUUCAGUGGGCCAUAAGAUUAGUCGUGGUACGCGCAAGGUACGUAGCACAGACACCCACGAAAAAAAAAAAAGAAGAAGAAGAAGCAGGACGGCAAUGUCCUCUUCAUCCCGAUUUUAUGAUAAUUUAAGUUAAUAGAAUUUUAGGAUUUCUAGAAGAAUUAAUUCUCUCAAAUUUUGUCAUAUUUCCACUGUUUUUUUAUUAUUACUACUUGGGCUUUCCUUUCUUACUUUUUAAUAUGUUUUGGAUGAGAAUGAAAUAUUUUAUAUAAACUUUAAAAACAGGGUCCAUGAAUGGAAAAAUGGUUGAUGGCAAUGGUCUAACGGGCCCAACUCUUGUUAAAAAUGGAGAAAAAAAUGCCAACAUAGCUGGCUAGCAUGAUGGAAAAAUCCAGACCCAUAUACAAUAUAUGAUUUUAUAAUAAUUUCAUGCGAUAAUAACAUGAAGGAUUUUUUUCAAUCAAAUAAAAAAUUUUAUUUAUUUAUCAAAAAAUUAUUAUGAAUUUAAUAUUUUCAAUAUGUAUUUUGAAAUAUACCACAUGAAAUGUUUAAAUAUGUGCAAUAUGUAUUUAGAAUUUAAUAUUAAUAAUUAUAUCUUCCUAACACAAGUUUACUUUAGUCAAUAAAAACUGGUACACCUUUUGUUUUUUCAUCCCUUUUGACUAAAGUGUACCAGUUUUUGAAGAAAGAUCAACUGGUACACAUUUUUUCCUCCUUUUUUAUCUUUCUUCUUCUUCUUUCGGCAUGGAAAAAAUGGAAAAUGACAUUAAUAGUCUCACAUGCCCAUCUUACACGGCAAAAUAGCUGGCUAGCAUUAACCUUUCAUUCAAUAUUUUUCCACAAAAGACUUUGACUUGGGUCAACUUUUCACUUCAUUACUUUUAUGGAAUUCAAUUUUAUUUAACUAAAAUCCAGUUCAGCUUGACUGCAGGUUCAUCCAUGAUGUAGCCCGAUCAAAUGGAUUCACUCAAUUGUUUCUGUAGGUUUACAUACCUUAUUUUUCAGGCAUGAAGAGAUAUAAUUAUCAAAAUUGUAUAUUUUAAUACUAUAAUUCAUAAAAUUAUUUUCUUUCUUUCUAUAUAUUUUAUUUAUGUUAUCAAAACCCUGAAAUAUCUAAUGCCUGUCAUUUUUCAUUUUUACCGAAAUCAUUUUUUUUCUCACACUUGAGAAAUUCAGCUGAAUUUUUUAAAUAUAGAUAAAUUUAAAAUAAAUAUUUUUUUACAAUAAUCUUUCUAAUUUACUCCUGUUCAAGAUGAGGCAGUUCCCAUUUGAGGUGGCUCUUCGUAUCCUUCAUCCACCAGACUCCACAAAUCUGGUGAGAUAAAGAUUGUCUCCAUUGGAGAACUUCAAUAAUCAUAAUGCUUGUUAUUUAUUUUUUUGUUUCUGUAUAUAUAUAAAAAAAAAUUAAAAAAAUAUAUAUUUAAAAAAAAAAUUAAAAAAAUAUAUAGCACUGAAAACAAGAUGCCGGAAUGCCCAGAAAAUAGUUAAAAACUGGUUGAGAAAGUUAAAAAAUACAAAGAUUAAAAUUUGAUAGUAUAUUUUUUUAUUGAUGAGAGUCCUAUUAACAAAAAAAAAAUUAAUUUAAGGAAAAAAAGUCAAAAAUCAACAUUCAAAAUUUAAUUUAAGGAAGAAAAAUUUAAUUUAUUUUUAGUUAAUUUUUUACUUUUAAAAAAGCAUGAUAAGUAUUUUUUUUUUUCUUAACACCACUGGUCGCUUCUUUGAAUAUACAUUAGUGUUGAUGGAUGAAAAUUUAAGUGGACGGAAUUUUAGGAUUUCUAGAAUUUGAGGACCCAUGCCGUGGAAGAAACUGCAUGAUGGAAAUGUUAUCUCGGACCCAACUUAUGGAAAAAAUGCAUGAUGGCACCAUCCAACGGACCCAUCUCGUGGAAAAAAGGAGCAGGACGGCAGUGUACUCGACAGGGCUUUAUUCUUCAACCUCUCGUAUAAUACAGAAGAACUGUGUAAAAUUUAUAUUUUUUUAAUUUAAUGAUGGGAGUUUAUAUUAAAUAUUUUUUUUCUUUAAAUUCAUGAAAAAAUAAAUUAAUGUUUUUUUACCUUAAAAAAACAUGAUAAUAAUUAUUUUUAUUUUUAUUUUUUGCAACACCAUUGAUCACUUCUUUGAACAUACAUUAUUGUUGAUGAAUGAGAAUUUAAGUGGAUAGAAUUUUAGGAUUUCUAGAAAAAAAAAAUUAUCUCAAAUUUUAUCAUAUUUUCUGUUUUUAUUUUUAUUAAUUUGGCUUUUCUUUCCUACUUUUUAAUAUUUUUUGGAUGAGAAUGAAAUAUUUUAUAUAAACUUUAAAAACAACACUGAGAUUGAUUCAUGUAUAUUCUGUGUUACUAUUAUUUAUAUAAAUGGAUGAAGCAUGAAAAUUAUAGAAGGCGAUUGUUACAAACUAAACUCUGAAGAUGAAAUUGUGAAAUCUCAAGGAGCAAACUAAAAAUUUAACAAAAUCUGACCAAGUCGUUUUAGAAGCCAAGAAAAAACAUAAAAAUAAUGGAAUCACAUCAACAUCACUAGCAUUAUAACCCUUUCAAAAAUUUAACAAAAUAAUGGAAUCACAUCAACUAAAAAUUCAAGAUGCAAUUGAGAAAUCUGAAGGAGAAAACUAAGAAUCUACCAAAAUCUGACCAAGUCGUUUCACAGGUGGCUUCAAGAUAAAAUAAAAGGAAUCACAUCAACAUCAGUAGUGGUUUCAAUCAAACACCUCAGAGGCAGGUAAUUUCCCAGUUCAAUAAAAGAACUAUCUCACCCAAUAAUUUAAGCUAUUAGGUGAGGUCAUAGGAUAUGAUUUAUAUUAUUCUCUAACACACCCCUUCAAGUGAAAGCUCUUUGGGCUUGAAACUUGCACAGACCCAUAUUAUCUUGUGCUUAAUUUUUAUCAAAUAAAUAGGGAUAGUGAGAUUCAAACUCUUGACCAUUUGGUCAUCAAGGCUCUGAUACCAUGUCAAAGAACCAUCCCAACCUAAUAGCUUAAGCUAUUAGGUAAGGUCUAAGAUAUGAGUUAUAUUAUUCUCUAACACAUAAAGAAACUGCUUUUUACAUCCUCAGCACGGUUGUUCUUCCUCUAUUUGUAUUUUUAAAAACUAAAAACAUAUCUGAAUAAAAAUAUAAUACAAAGAAAUUGUUUCUAGAAUUGUAUAUUUUUAAAAUAAAAAACAUAUAAAAACAUAUUUUCUUUAUCUUUACUAUUUUUUUUAUUUUAUAUCACGAUAAUCAAAUGUUGCCUAAUUAAAAGAGCACCAAAUCAUGAUAAAAAUUGCUCCCUUUUUAAUCUAGUUUUUUUUUUGUUAAAUUGAUAAUUUUGAUAAAUAACACAUUUAUUUUAGUUAAAAAAAAAACUUAUUAGUAGAGAGACAUUGGAGCUGGUUUUAAUUACUUCAAUAAAUAACACACUAAUUUACUUUUUGAUUGAUAGGAAAUGGCAGCUGGUUCUUAAUAUUCUUGCUGAUAGCCUUGCAAGAGUAAUGAGUGUGUUUUUUCUUCACAUUCCUAAUUUAUUUUUUUUGUGUAUUAUUUUUAUUUACUGGUUUCUUGUGAAGAAAUUGAAACCUCAAUCGCUUCAAUAUAUCUUAAACAUUUCCAUUAAUUAAUCGGUGGUUGCAUUCUUCUUUUUUUUUUUUCUUAUGAUAAUUGAGAACUAUAUUAAAAUAUUAAAAUUAAGGCAUGAUUUUCUAGACGUGAUUUCCAUAAAGAUAGUAGGGAGGGCUCUGUAUCAAUCAUCUUCAUGGAAAGUGAGCUGGCCAACGUUAGCUUUUUAUUCAUGUUUUUCCACAAAAGACUUUGACUUGGGGUCAAGUUUUUGGUUAAUCGACUUGGGGUCAAGUUUUCCACAAAAGGCGUGAUUUCAAUUUUUUUUUACAAUGUUAGCAAAAUCACUUUAAUUAUUCUUUCAAUAUUCCCGUACGUGUGAUUCACUGCUUGGUGAUUCUAAAGUCACCUAUUUAAACUUUAGUACGUUAGACAACUAAAUUUACUCUUUCACUCGGUAUUUAUUAUAUAUUCAAUUCGUUUAUAAAAUAAUGAUGUAGAGUUAACCCAUAGAACGGGUUGUUUUAGAAGCCGAUUGUUACAAACUAAAAUUUCAAGACGAAAUUGAGAAAUUUGAAGGAGCAAACUAAGAAUUUACCAAAAUCUGAGCAAGUGGUUUCUAGAUAAAAUAAAGGAAUCACAUCAACAUCACUAGUGGUUUCUAGAUAAGCAUAACCCAUAGAACGGGUUGUUCUUCUACUUAUCAGAUUCAUUUAUAUCAUAAAAUAAAUUAUAACAAGAAUGAAAUGAAAUUGGAUUUGAAAAUUCUCCAAACUUGGCAACGCAUGAUGUGUAACAGACCCAUAGAACGGGAGUGAGUUACAAAUGACCCAUAACUCUUGCCAACAAUUUUAGUCUCAAGAAGGUACGGAGAUUUUCCAUGGAUUCGACCUUGAUGAUUGUACAUAAAAUUUGCUUCUAACAUGGUUCCAAAUAUGGCAUCUUUCUGAUUAAUGAACAGGGCAUCUAUUGAUACUACAUAUGAACGAACACUUCAAUUUGUUGGUAAAAGGAAAGAUAUUGUACAGCUAUUGUAAUAUGUAUUUCUUUCUAUUAUGUUUACUGUUUUCCUAUUGUAUUUGCUGAGAUUGAGGCAAUCACAGUUAUUGUGAUUGACCUUCUUAGAAUAGAUUAUUUGCUUCUCUAGAAUAGAUUUUGCAACUUGUAUAAAUCACAUGUAUUACAGCCUUCUUAAUAUAUACAAUACACUACAGAGUUUAUAAUUCUUUCAUGGUAUCAGAGCACCAAUAUUGGUGAACCUAUUCACACCUUCCACCACCACCAAAAUUCAACCAACACAAAACAUAAACAUGGAUGACAACACAUCCAACUCACUCAUCUUGCAUGGUUCAGACUCACCAGGGCUUGUUCUUGUUUCCAAGCCUUUUGAAGGACACAAUUAUGGUCAAGGGAGCCGCUCAAUGCGUAUUGCCUUGAGUGCCAAAAACAAAUUGGGGUUCAUUGACGGAACCAUCACACCUCCAACAAGCACCGAUACCAAAUUUGUUGUUUGGCAAAGAUGCAACGACAUGGUGCUGUCAUGGAUUUUACAGUCACUAAAUCCUGAUAUUGCAAGCAGUGUGCUUUACUACACUAGUGCAUCUAUGGUAUGUAAUGACCUCAAGGAUCGAUUCUCACAAAGCAAUGACUCUAGGAUUUUCCAAAUCCGUCAAGAAAUCGCUGAGCAUCGACAAGGUAACCUCAUAAUUUCAGAAUACUAUACUAAACUCAAGGCUUUAUGGGACAAAUUAGAUUCCUCCCAUGAACCCAUCAUAUGCACCUGCGAGGGUUCCAAAACACAAGCCUCAAGAGAAGAAAAGGAGAGAGUCAUGCAAUUUCUAAUGGGUCUUAAUGAAGCUUACUCAACAGUACGUGGGUCGAUCCUCAUGAUGUCACCAAUCCCAGACACAUGCCAUGUUCAUGGAUUAAUCAUCCAACACGAGCAACAAAUGGAUGUGGCAAAUUGGCAGAUCGAACCCCAUGUUAUGCAGACUAGUCGCUACAUUAGAGGUAGUACAAGACUUGGGAAUCAAAUGAGAAUAAAAUCGCCUGGUGCUGGUAAUGGAGAAGGGAAGCACGAUCCUUAUCUGAAGAAGCAACUCAAUUGUUCUUACUAGGGGUGUUCAAAAAAACCGACCAACCGAUUAAACCGAAGAAACCAAGAAAAAAUUAACCGAAAUAACCAAAUCGAUAGAAAAAACCGAAAAACCGAUUAAAAAAUAAAAAAACCACCUGGUCCGGUUCUGUUCCGGUUUAAAAAGGCUUAAACCGAUUGAACCGGACCAAACCGAACCGGUUUAACUGAAUCUAAAAAAUAGUAUAAAAGGAAACUAAACCUAAAUAAUAAAUACCCUAACCUAACCCUACAUUUCCAAAGCCCCACCUUUCCAGCCGCCCCCCUUCCCUUUCCCUUUCCCUUUUCCCACUUUCCAUUCCAGCCACCCUACCUAUCCCUCCCUCCCCGCUCUCUCUCUCCCCCCCUCUUCCCUUUCCCUUUUCCUUUCCCAUUUCCCCCUUUCAAUUCCAGCCACCCCACCUAUCCAUCCCUCCCCGCUCUCUCUCCUCCCCCUUUACCCUUUCCAGUCACACCCCACCCCUCUCUCUCUCCCUCUCCUCUGUGCACAAGGAAGGCUUAAAGCAACUCAUUUUCUCUCAUAUUGUUGCCUUUCUACUCUCUACUUUACUUUAUGGCAGAAAACUUGGAUAAAAUCCUUGUUUCUGGUUUUAUUAACAUGCAGUUGUGCUAGCAAGGUCCUGGUAGUUUGCGCCUUUGCGGGAUGCUAUUGGAAUCUUUGUUAACAUGUAGUUGUGCUUGCUUGGAUAGAUCUAGUGAUUGUGAUUCAGCUAAGGGAGAUCUUUCAGAUCCCAACCGAAGGGCUUGGAUUCAAAGUUUUCAACGAUUGUUUUGAAUGUGAUUCGGCCAAGUUUGUCUAGUGAUUGUGAUUCGGCCAAGUUUUCUUUUAUUUAAUUUGUUUCAGUUAUAUUAACAAGGAAUAGUAUUUUUCGGUUCGGUUGAUUUUUUAUGUUAAAACCGGACCGAACCGGACCGUGAACACCCCUAGUUCUUACUGUGAUGGAGAACCCACACGGUGGAAAAUUGUUAUUAUAUCAAUGGUUUUCCUGUGGGCCAUAAGUUACAUGGAAAGAAUGUCAAGCCAAGGAAUAAAAGACCCAAUGCCUACACUGUUGACAGAGAUUCCACCUUAGUGCAUGACAGUAAGCCAAAUGAAAGUCCAACUUUCACCACCGAAGAAUAUAAUCAAUUGAUCGCCCUCUUGCACAACCAAUCCGAUAAUUUUUCACAUGCAAAUGCAACAGGUAUUGUUACACCCACCUGUAAUCUAUCACAACAUAACCCACAUUCAAACAUAUAUUGGAUAAUGGACAGUGGAGCGUCAGAUCACAUUUCAUGUUUUGCACUACAUAUAACAUGUUGCAUGCUCCUCAUGAUUUUAUUGGGUUAACCAAUGGAGGAAAAACAGAAAUUCACAACGUUGGGUCCGUUAAAGUAUCUGAAACAAUAACUCUUGAUGGAGUUCUUCACGUCCCUCAAUUUAAUGUGAACUUAUUAUAUGUGAGCAAAUUGACACGAGGAUUGCAGUGUAUUGUGAUUUUUUUUAAUAAAUUUUAUAUUGUGCAGGACGUGACCACAGGGAGGACGAUUGGCCUGGGGAAGCAAUUUAAUGGGCUCUACUACCUCACAGCUACCCAAAAUCCACAUCUAGCUCACCAUGUCCACCACACCUCCCAUUCGUCGAGAGAAAACAUCGUCAUCUCUUAAAUGUUGGACGGGCACUACGUUUCCAAGCCAACAUUCCUUUGUGUUUUUGGGGGGAGAGUUUACAAACUGCAUGUUAUCUUAUAAACUGUCUCCCAACACCCUUACUCAAACACAAAUCACCAUUUGAGCUAUUACAUCACAGAUCUCCUGAUUACUCUGUUUUACGAGUGUUCGGUUGUCUGUGUUAUGCCACCAAUCUUCUUCCUAAGCACAAAUUUGAUGCACGGGCUCGCUGAUUUGUGUUUUUUGGUUACCCCCUCGGUCAAAAAGGUUACCGUAUUUAUGACCUUACCACACAAAAAAAAAAUUCCUCCCAAGAUGUGAUUUUUCAUGAACACACAUUCCCUUUCUCUACAUCUCCACCCGAAACCCAAGAUGACUCUACUGUGCUACCCAACUCUUCCACCGACCCAUUGCUUCUACCUGUACCCAUCCAUAACCAAAUCCUACCGCCUCAACCAGUCUUCCUUGAUUCCCCUUCCAUUCAUUCUAAUCCUCCCCUACUUCCCAUCACGUCUACUCCACCCACAACCAUCCCCGACUUAUCUUCACCUCCUUCACCCAUCAUCCCAUACCUUCCCUCCUAAUCCCCUACCCCUUCCAUAGCCGUCAAUCCAUUGCCCAUUCGCCAAUCCAGCUGCCCCACAAAACCCUAUACCCGCUUCAAAGAUUACCAAACUCACCAUACCACUCUGCUUGCUCCUACUGAUCCCUCCUCCGGCACAUCUGGCACCCGCUGCCCCAUCACUCGGUAUGUGUCUCACUCUAAUUUCUCUGCACCUCAUCGUACAUUUAUCAAUCAUAUUUCUCAAUUGGUUGAACCCAGCUCCUAUGAGGAGGCACAGCAUCACCCUCAAUGCGUUGCCGCUAUGAAUUCUGAAAUCACAACUUUAGAGGAGAACAACACCUGGUCUUUCACUUCAUUGUUGCAGGUCAUCGUUCGAUCGGCUGCAAAUGGUUUUUAAGAUUAAAUACAAGUCGGAUGGUUCCAUUGAAAGAUACAAAGCUCCGCUCGGUUGCCGGGGCUAUACCUAGCGUGAAGCAUCGAUUACACCGGAACCUUUGCUCUUGUUGCUAAGCUCAUCACCAUUUGUUGCCUCCUUAUUUUUGUUGGUUGUCUACAGUUGGCCUCUACAUCAGAGGAUGUGCACAACGCUUCUUACACAGCGAUCUCCAUGAAGAAGUCCAUAUGCUUCCACCGCCGGGGUAUCGGCGCCAAAGGAGCACAUGGUUUGUUCACCUCCACAAAUCCAUAUACGGUUUGAAACAGGCGUCCCGAAGCUGGUUUUGUAAGUUUUCAACUGCCAUACACACAUUGGUUUUUUUUCAAUCCAAAGCCGAUUAUUCAAUGUUCACACAAACACAGGGCAAAUCUUUCACUGUCGUUUUGUUAUACAUUGAUGAUAUGAUAAUUACUGGGAAUAAUGAUGCUGCCAUCCGAGACCUUAAACAUUUUCUCAGCACUCAUUUCAAAAUUAAGGAUCUCGACCUUUUAAAAUACUUCAUUGGGGCUGAGAUUGCACAGUCCAAAUCUGGCAUUUCUUUUUGCCAGCAAAAGUAUACACUGGAUAUCUUGGAAGAUACAGGUUUGCUUGGUUCCAAACCUGAAAAGAUUUCUAUGGAUACAAAUGUUGCUCUUAUGCCUAUAAGGAGUAACCCCCUUACAGGCCCUACUUGUUAUCGGAGACUUAUUGGACGAUUAAUCUAUCUUACCAUUACAAGGCCUGAAAUCACAUAUGUAGUGAACACACUCAGCCAAUUUAUGCAUGACCCUCAGAAGCACCAUUUUGACACAGCACGUCGGCUCCUUCAUUACCUCAAAGGAGCUCCUGGCCAAGGGAUGUUAUUCUCCUCGAAUGGGCCACUACACUUGACUGAAAUCACAUAUGUAGUGAACACACUCAGCCAAUUUAUGCAUGACCCUCAGAAGCACCAUUUUGACACAGCACGUCGGCUCCUUCAUUACCUCAAAGGAGCUCAGCACCCGUUUCAAAAUUAAGGAUCUCGACCCUUUAAAAUACUUCAUUGGGGCUGAGAUUGCACAGUCCAAAUCUGGCAUUUCUUUUUGCCAGCAAAAGUAUACACUGGAUAUCUUGGAAGAUACAGGUUUGCUUGGUUCCAAACCUGAAAAGAUUUCUAUGGAUACAAAUGUUGCUCUUAUGCCUAUAAGGAGUAACCCCCUUACAGGCCCUACUUGUUAUCGGAGACUUAUUGGACGAUUAAUCUAUCUUACCAUUACAAGGCCUGAAAUCACAUAUGUAGUGAACACACUCAGCCAAUUUAUGCAUGACCCUCAGAAGCACCAUUUUGACACAGCACGUCGGCUCCUUCAUUACCUCAAAGGAGCUCCUGGCCAAGGGAUGUUAUUCUCCUCGAAUGGGCCACUACACUUGACUGCAUAUUACGAUGCAGACUGGGCACGAUGCCCUUUCACAAGACACUCAAUUACUGGAUAUUGUAUUUUUCUUGGCACGUCCCUCAUAUCAUGGAAAAGCAAGAAGCAAGUCACUGUCUUAAGGUCAUCCGUAGAAGCUGAAUACCGGUCCAUGGCAGCCACCGCUUGUGAACUUACUUGGUUACGAUACCUCUUACAGGAUCUACAAGUACCCCAUCGCCAACCUGCCACCUUACUUUGUGACAACAAAGCUGCCCUCUAUAUUGCAGCCAAUCAAUUUUACCAUGAACGGACCAAGCACAUCGAAUUGGAUUGCCACACCGUUCGUGAGAAAAUUCAAAAUGGCGAAAUCAAGACAACUCAUGUGAAAACAGAAUUCCAAGUAGCUGACAUUUUCACCAAGCCACUGCCUGCACCCCUAUUCCAAUCCUAUCUUCACAAGUUGGGUGUAAUCGACAUUCACACUCCAACUUGAGGGGGAGUGUUAAAAGGAAAGAUAUUGUACAACUAUUGUAAUAUGUAUUUCUCUCUAUUAUGUUUACUGUUUUCCUAUUGUAUUUGCUGACAUUUUCACCAAGCCACUGCCUGCACCCUUAUUCCAAUCCUAUCUUCACAAGUUGGGUGUAAUCGACAUUCACACUCCAACUUGAGGGGGAGUGUUAAAAGGAAAGAUAUUGUACAGCUAUUGUAAUAUGUAUUUCUUUCUAUUAUGUUUACUGUUUUCCUAUUGUAUUUGCUGAGAUUGAGGCAAUUACAGUUAUUGUGAUUGACCUUCUUAGAAUAGAUUAUUUGAUUUCCUAGAAUAGAUUCUGCAACUUGUAUAAAUCACAUGUAUUACAGCCUUCUUAAUAUAUACAAUACACUACAGAGUUUACAAUUCUUUUAAAGAACCGUAAAUCUCCCUAUCUUAAGUUUAUUACAAGACAAGCCUGUCAAUAUAGCCAUCAGAAUUUUGUUUACUGUGGAAAAUCCAUUUACAACCCACAACAUUUUGACUGGGAUUGGAAGGUAGCAGUUCCCAUGUUCCAUUUCAAACAAGAGCAUUAUAUUCUUCAGACAUUGCCUCAUGCCAUUUUGGAUCUUUGAGAGCUUGGGCUGAUGUGGUGGGUUCAAGAGCAAGAGGUUUGGAUAAUUGGGUGUGAAGAUUUAGUUUUUGAAGAGGUUUGCGAAUGUUAUUUUUUGCCCUUGUUUGCAUGGGAUGAUUCGGUUGGGUAGCAGCUGGCAGGGGAUUUGUGGCAGUCAUUUGAUGUGUUUGGUUUUGUGUAUUGGUUGUGUUAAGAUGAGAAGUGUCAGGUACAGGGGCUAUAGUGUGUGGUUGUUUUAAUUAUUAGUGGGGACCCAAAAAUGGGUUACAACAAUAACAAAGAUAGACACUUUGAGUUAGAGAGCAUUCGAGAAAACGAGAUUCCAGUUUAUGACAAGUAUAGCUAGGGGCGAAGCCAAUGAUAACAUAGACAAGCAAAACCUUGAGUUUUGAAUAAUUAGGAGGAGUACCCAAAAAAAUUUCAUAAGAGGAGAAGAGAUUUAAUGUUUGAGUUGACAUUCGAUUGAUUAAGUAGACAUUUGUUGUAAGCCCUCUAUGUGAAAAAUCAUAAAUUGACUAGUUUUAUGUAAAACAAAAACAAUCAUAACUCUCGAUCGGGUUAUCAAAAACUUCUGAAAAUUACGUGGAGUCUUCUAAUAUGAUGCCUUAGCUUAGGUUAAAAUUUUAGAAUUUUUGGAGAAAUUCAGAAAUUUGACGAAAAAUCACAAUUUGACUAGUUUUGCGUUAUUGGACGUAAUUUUUAAUAUGACCAUCAAAUUGAUCUGAAAUUUUAUGAGGAACUUUAAAAUAUAUUGAAUAAAAUCUGGUUAAAAUUUUAAGAUAAAUGGAGCUAGGUAGUACUAACAAAAAAAUAAGGACCAUCAAAUAGAAGCAAAAGGACUCAUUAAGGGUAAAAUGGUUAUUUUCCAUUAAAAAAUAAAACAAAUCAGCCCUCCUUUUCUUUAAUAUGCUACCAAAUGGGCAGAAGCAGAUUGGGAAAAGAAAGAACGUAAAAGAACGUGAGAGAAAGAGAGAAAAGUAAGGAAAAAAUAAGAAAAUUAAGAGAAUAACCUUGUAAACUUGCAAAGUUCAACUUAGUACCAACUUAGAAGUGUUGUCGAUAACUUGAUACCAACAAAAAUAGAGAAAACUCUGCCGAAAGUUUUAAAAAAAAAAUUAUUCCAUUAGUAAAAAAUAUUUGAGAUUUCAUGACAUUAUAAUUUGAGGUUGUUAUAGUUGUAGCAAAGGCAUUAGACCAAUGACUUAAAGGAAUGGAAGCAUGAGAGAGAAGGAUGAGACCAGUUUUAAGAAUGUGAAGAUGAUGUUGUUCCGAAAAGUCAUUGUGUUCGGGUGUGUGAAGUGGAAUAGUAAGAUGAGAUAUACCAUGAAGAGCAAGAAAAUUAGCAAGUGUAACAUAUUCACCACCAUUAUCAGACUACAAUGUAUUGCUGCUCUGAUUGAAGUGUUUUUCCGUAUGUAAUAACUUUGAAUCUAAUGAAUAUGUCUUUUACUUGUGAUUUUUGUUUUAGAGGAUAAAACCAAAUAUACUUAGUAAAAUGAUCAACAAAAAUUACAUAGCCAUCAUAAGAAAUAAUUGGUGAAGUCCAUACAUGUUAAAAAAUUAUUUGAAGAGGUCGAUUAGAAGUAAUGGUAGAAUUGAAAAAUGAAAGUUUGUGACUCUUAUUCCAAUGACAUGCGUUACAAGAAAAAAUUUAAAUGCUGGAAGAAGAUAAAUCGAGUUUGUUUGUAGAAAUGACAUGCUAUAAAAUAGGAAAGGCUGGGUGUCCCAAUCUAUGAUGUCAUUCGGAGAAGGUGGUUUUGACAAUGGAAAAGGUAAAUAGAGGUGAAGAUAUCAGCCACUUAUAUACACCAUCCUUUGCUUUACCUGUCAAAAGCGUUGCUCCUAUAUGAAGAUCAUUUACAAGAAAAGAAUACGGUAAGAAUUCAAUUGAAGCAUUGUUGGACAUACAGAAUUUGGAAAUUGUAAUCAAAUGUUUUUCGUGCUGGGUACACAGAACAUUGGUUAAGGAAAAAUGAGCAUUAGAACUGCGAAGAGAAAUGGAACCAGUAUGUGUUAUGGGAAGCCCUGUGCCGUACCGAUUUUUGUCAUUGCACUAAACAAUGUAUCUUGAUUUCCAUACCGAUUAUACCAUGGGUUUUGUUUGAAAUUUUUAGACAACUGCUGCGCCCUGUGUGUUCAAACCUUGUUGAAAUUUUUUAACGUUGGCUGAGCUCACAACAACCAAAAUUAUUUACGUAGUUGACCUUAGCUGACUUGAACUUUUCUUGGCAAUUCCUUACAAAUGGGCAUAUACAAGGAAGUUUUGGCACUACUGCUGUUCAUUAGUCCCUUGCCUCUUUUUUGUUUCUUUUUCCUUUUCUUUUUCAGGAGUUUGGUGCAAUGUAUGGCAUCGCAUGGCACUGCAUUGUUGGCAAGAGUUAUGGGUCAUUUGUAACUCACUCAAUCAAGAGCUAUCUCACCAUGUCCAAGAAAAGUCUAUCAACUUCACUAGCCGUUGCUGGAUAAGUAAACAUAUAAGCUUUUCAAUUAAAAAGCACAGAGGCAGUCAUGCUUGACUGAUAAAAGCCCAAAAGUUAUAACUUGAGCUGGUUUUAAUUAUUUCGAUAAAUAACACAUUUAUUUUUAAUCUUAUUAUUAGUUUUUUCGGUUAGGUAUUGCCAUUUAGUGGCAAUACCCCACCACUAAGUUGGUGGUGGCUCCAUUAAUGCCACAAUUAGUGGCAUGAAUUAAGGGAUUGACUCCCAUGUGCAGCUGCUGGAAAGAAGAAGAGAAGCCACCAUUAGCCUAUAAAUGAGGCAUGCAAAGAGAGCCAAAGUGUGAGAGAAAAACGUGAGUGUGUGCAAGAGAGAAGAGAAAGAGAAGAGAAAGGGUUGCUGCCAUGAAGCUGCAAGGCAGCAAGAGAGAUGGGAGUUGAGUGAUGAGAUCCUCCUCCAUGUAUUUAUUGUAUCCUUUCUCUAAUCUAUAAUGAAAUGGACUCUCUCCCGUGGAUGUAGGCGGUUUUGCCGAACCACGUUAAAUAUUGUGUCUCAGUGUGCUUGCCCCUCCGUUGAGCAUCAGUCAAGCAUGCCGGCGGAGUGGCUGGCCACGCGCGCCACGCGUCACACGUCACACGCGUCUUCUUCACCCGGAAGAGUUGACCCGACCCGAAUACAGCUGACCUGACCCAUGUGAACAGUAGACAUGAACAGUGAUGCAUCAUGAACAGUUGCAUGCGAGGGAUGACAUCAGCCUGAUGUACGAUGACAUCAGCAUGCAUUUGACCAGGCAACAUACAUGUCAGCAUAGUGGGACCCACCGACCACGUCAUCAGCCGCGAGCCGAGUUGAGCCAAGCCGAAUUGGAGCCAAGCCGCGAGCCGAGGGAUAGGAUCCAGUGUAGCUGAUCCUACGUGCAACCGGAUCUGAGAUUGAAUCUGAGUCGUUUAUGAGGCCAGAAUUGUUUUGAUCAAAUCUUAGCCAUCUGAAGUGCGAUUUGGGCGAUUCAAGACAUGUUUCCAGCUAAUUUGAUCAUUCCGGAUGCAAUGGUAUGGUCCGAUCGUUGCGAUUGGAGACCAAAAAUGGCGGUGGUGAAUUAUUAAAGAGAGAUUGCCCGAUGAGGAGGCAUCUGAAGGUCAUUAUGGUGGUUGAUAGAGAUGAAGAAGAAGAAGGUGCAUAUGUUUACCCAAUUACAUGUGCUGAACUGUUAAGUGAAGAAUUUAAUGCCUCGAAGGAAGGCAAAAUUGGGAUACUCUGGACACCCGGUUAUGUGGACAAGUUGAGGUGUAGAGUGAAAACUGACGAAGACCAAUCUUGGCGAAUCUAAGCAUGGUAGUCUCGCUAGAUGUUGAGAAAUCAUGUAUUAAACCUGUAUAUUCCAGAUCACUUGUAAAGAAAAGCUGCAACAAAGCUAGCAAAUGAUUGUAUAUACGGAGAGAUAGUACGAUGGAUAGAUAUGGCCUAAGAAGUUCUGUCUAGGAGAUUGGGUUUUAAGCGGGACCAGUGUGACCCCUCCAAUCUUUCCUGGGAACUUGCUUAGUGGAAGGAUUAUCCAUAUGGUACUAUUUUCAUAUAUGUAACAGUUUGUAAUGAAACUGGUGAAGACUAGCAGGAUAACGGCACAAGGGGAACAGUUGGGUUCCGUAUGAUCAAGGAUCUGAUGGAUUGGUGAUUUCUCCAAAGAAGUUAGAUUCGGUGACUGUGAUUUCUUGAGGGGAGAAUUGAUGAGGACCCUGAUAAUGGAAGAGAAAUACAGCAAGAGGAUGAAGAUUGGCACCCUAUUUUGACUUAGAUAGGUGUUGUGACGGGAUGAGCUGUUGUCAAACAUAAGCAAGGAAUAGGGAGAAAUCUGGAGAACAUAUAUUGCACGAGGGCACAUGGAGAUUAUAUAGGAGUACCCGUAGGAUCCUAACGAGAUACUGUAUUGAGACAACAGGUGCAAGGAGAAGAAGAGUUCCCAAAUGAAGCUCAGAGCAGAGACUGUGUGAAGGAUGGACAACAGGAAGUCUCAUGUGCUCUUGAUGAAGACAACACACGAGGACCUUUCCAAUGCAUGCAAGGAUGGAAAGAUGAGCUGUUGCAGAGGCACCUAAUUGAGGGGGUGCAAACGCCUGUGAUAAAAGGCGACCGCUAUGAUGAAAGGCGAAGACACCAAAGAGAGGUGGUGUAGGUGGAGCUGUCAAGCAGAAAGGCGUAGAAGCUCCAAACAUAGAAAUCGAGGUGGAGGAUUGCGAGGAGUAUACCGCAACUUUCUCUUUCUAUGUAGUCAGUGGCAGUAAUCUCUCCCAAGUCCACAUGGUGGUAGAGAAUCUUGGAGCCACGAAGCAUCCCGAUGAAGGAGGAUGACUGCCUAUGAAAGCAAAGACACCUAGAGAGAAGGUGUGAGGCCAUGAUAGAGCCCCAGUUCAGACCGCCUAUGACAACGGGCGAAGACACCUUAGAGAAGGUGUGAGGGCCAUGAUAGGAGCCCCAUUUCAGACCGCCGCAUGACGACGAGCGGAGACACCGAGAAGAAGGUGUGUGGGCCACGAUAUGAGCCCAUUCAGAACGCCCCAGAGCCAAUGUGAUGGCUAGAUAUAGUGGACAGGUGUAUAGCCAAAUGAAGUGGCUAUGAUGAGUAUGAAGACAAAUGCAGGAUUGACUUUCAUGGAUAUUGCCCCCAUGCUAAAGAUCAAUGAGCUAGAAGACAUUUGCCUUGGACAAUAAGUGGUGACUUGUGGAGCAUUAAGACGCGCUGCUAUGAAGGAGCAGAGGGCAUGCGCAGGUUCCGGGAACGAGUUGACUCUUGUCAAGGUGGUGAGCUCGGUAAUGGCAUUGUAAUACUCAGAGUAUGAAGAUAGAUAUGGAUCAACCUUUAAUGGGUUGCCCCCAUGAUUAAAGGUGGAGAGCUACCUGGACUCUUACGACUAAGAGCGAGAGACUCACGGAGAAGUAAGGCGUGGUUCCUAGGGUGGAACAGAGGGCAGACGCAACUCCUGGAUGAGUAGACUCUUGGAAGAGUGGUGAGCUUGUGAUCACAUUGAAAUACUCAAUGACUAUCGCACUUGGGAAUAUUCGUAUUCGUUUGAGGGGGUGUUGUAAGCCUUGGUGUGAGGCUUGGUGAAUCAUUCCGGACCGAGCAUGGUUGAUACGCUCGAAGGGGAAUGUUGUGUUGAAGACGCUCUCAGAAUGGUAAGCUUUGAAAAGAUGCAGAAUGCAAGCUUGUGUUGAAGAAGCAAGAGGACAAUUGACCACAUAAAUGGCAAAGGGGGUGAUUGUUAGGUAUCGCCAUUUAGUGGCAAUACCCCACCACUAAGUUGGUGGUGGCUCCAUUAAUGCCACAAUUAGUGGCAUGAAUUAAGGGAUUGACUCCCAUGUGCAGCUGCUGGAAAGAAGAAGAGAAGCCACCAUUAGCCUAUAAAUGAGGCAUGCAAAGAGAGCCAAAGUGUGAGAGAAAAACGUGAGUGUGUGCAAGAGAGAAGAGAAAGAGAAGAGAAAGGGUUGCUGCCCAUGGCAGCAGCCCUGCAGCUGCAAGGCAGCAAGAGAGAUGGGAGUUGAGUGAUGAGAUCCUCCUCCAUGUAUUUAUUGUAUCCUUUCUCUAAUCUAUAAUGAAAUGGACUCUCUCCCGUGGAUGUAGGCGGUUUUGCCGAACCACGUUAAAUAUUGUGUCUCAGUGUGCUUGCCCCUCCGUUGAGCAAAUAUCAGUACAUCACCGGUCGCCGGAUUCCGCCCCAACAUUUUCUUAAUUUUUUGAUUGAUAAGAAAUGGCAGCUGGUUCUUAAUAUUCUUGCUGAUAGACUUGCAAGAGUAAUGAGUGUGUUUUUUCUCCACAUUCCGAGUUUGUUUUACUUGUUGAUAGUCCUUUAAACAUACUAUUAACUCGCUCCCAGAAUGGAUAUCAAUGAAAGCGAUGGUUAGCACCUGGCUUGCAGAUGCAAUCAUGUAUGAACUCUGGGCGGGGUCUGAUGGAACCUCUGCCCGCACAAUUUAUCACUCUGGCCUCCCUUGGUUGAUAGGAAAGGCUCUAUUCAUGAAACAAGUGUACUUUGUUAAGCAGCGACUUGGGAUAACUAAAGAAAAUGCUGAACGAAGGGAAGCAGAGGUUACACUUCUAUCAUUGAUGAUCUUUUUCUGCAACUUGUUGAUAUCAAAUCUGUGCACAUACACUAGUGUUAGAAAGCAUACAUCUUUGGAAUGAUUUUACCCGUUUAUAUAUUGCUUCAUUUUCUGUUAAUUUUCCUUGACCAUGGCCUUGCGAUUUUUUUAUUUUAAUUUAUGGAUAGAUUUACAAGAGAGCGAAAAUUGCAUAUGGAGCUUUGUCAACCACAUUAGGGAAUCACACAUUUCUUUUUGAAAGAUGUUUAUUUUUUAUAUCGUGGUUAAUAUAUAUAUUUUUCAUUUUUUACCUGAAAUCAUCUAAGAUAUUUUGGUUUUUAUGUUUUGAAUUCAAAUUUUAAGUUUGAGGUCUUGACUAUGCAUUGAUUAUACACCCAACUUCAUAUUUCUGUUUGUGCAGGCCAUCUAGUUUGGACAAAUAUUUCCUUGGGCAUGUCAUUUUCACUCUUCAAGCAUUUCCUGUGAGUCACUUCACCAAUUGUCUUCUGUGACAUGAGGCUGUGAGAGCUGAAUGCUGGCAUUUGUAUGGCUAGAACAAUUAAUUACAGCUGAAAAUGUGGUAAUACAUGACCUGGGAUGAUGGUGCAAAAACAAUUACAUUAUUACCCAGAAAAAGUCACAAUGAUCGAAGUAUUGUCUGCAUGUUCCACCAUAUGCACAAUGUCUAUGUUGCGAGUGAAUUAAUUGAUAUGUAUGCAAAAUGUGGGAGCUUGGAUGAUGCACUCAGGAUUUUUGAGAGUAUGCCUCAUAAAAAUGAGGUUUCAUGGAAUGCCAUGAUUUCUGCUCUUGCUUUCCAUGGGCAGGCCCAGGAAGCAUUAUCAUUAUUCAGAGGCAUGUCAAAGGAUAAUGGCACUGUUCAGCCUAAUUGACAUCACUUUCAUAGGAGUACUUGUUAUGAUCCUUGUUAAAUUUUUAGGGAAUGGAAGUUCUGGUGAACCAGAGCAUUAGGGAGACUUCAUUACAAUCCUUAGCAUUGAUUGUGGAGAAGUGAGAAAUAUCAUUCCUAGUGAAGUCCCAAGUGUUCUUGAAUCAAAGCUCCAGGUUAAUUUGUUCUCUCAACAUGCUUGCUUAUAUUUUCCUUUAUUAAUCUUGUACACAAAAGAACUGUAUAUAGGCAGCCUCGUUUCAUUAUUGUUCUAUAAAUAGAAAUUGGAUGCGGACAUCAAGGACGCGAGGAUUGCAUAUUAUUUUGAUUUCAUUGCUGGGACAAGCACUAGAGGCCUUAUGACAUCCAUGCUUACUGCUCCAAAUGAUGAAAAACGACCUUUGUUUGCCGCAAAAGAUAUUGUAAGUUUUAUCAAGACCACAAUCCAGGCACCAAGUAAUUUAUGGUAUUUUUGAGCUACGGUUUUUUUUAUGUUGCUUUUUUUAUGGUAUUUUUGAGCUCAGGUUUUUUUUAUGUUGCUUUUUUUAUGGUAUUUUUGAGCUACGGUUUGGAAUUGUACAGAAGUAGUAUUCUAUGGUGAUUCAUCCUUUAGGGUGUGGGGUUUAUUCUUUGUUAAAGAAAAGGAAUGUGUUUUUCCGGUGCUAAAAAGAGGAAAACACUUUCCUUUUAGAAAAAGGGUUGUGUUGUCCUUGGUUGGAAACCACUUUCUUGGAAAGUGGUUUCUCAAAGUUUACCAAACAUAGAAAAGAUGGAAAAAUUGAUUCCAGGAAAAUAGUUUCAUGAAACAAACAAGGUUAGUUUUUUAAUGCUCCCUUCUUUGCUUUCUUAACUUUCUCCUUGUUCUGGCUAUUGCAGCAGGAAAUAUGAUAAAGCUAAAGGACAUGCUAGGAAGAGAAGAAGUGAGAUCCUGAAAUGCAUUUUGCUUUGUCAGUGUUUUAAGCAAGUGGAGGUAAUUAAAGAUUCUAACAAGAGACUUAACUUUAUUUUCAUAUAUUCUUUCACUGGAUAUUUGUCCAUGUCUAAUUGGAUCUAUUAUUCUUGUAAUUCUUGUUUUCUAGUUGUUUUUAGAGGAAGUUUUUUUUCUUUUAAGCGGUGAAAGCUAAUGAUAUCAGGUUUUCUAGUUUUCUGCACAUCACUUUUGGAACAUUAGAGACCUAGUCUGAGCGUAAUCAAAUGAAUUUAGACACCGUUUGGCAUUGCGUUCCAAACGGUGUUUUGCCCAAAUUUAAAUUAUUUUUUUUUUUGCUAAAAUUGAGUUCGGUUUGUACUUUUUGGAUCGUUUUGAUGUGCUGAUGUCAAAAAUGAAAAAACAUCAUUGGCAUGUAUUUCAGCACGAAAAGCUAUUUGAAAAGCAUUGCGGCAUAUGCUGGAUGUUUGAGAUUAUAGUAUUGAGAAGUGGGUUGAAACUUAGAAGCCAUCAUACACGUGGAGAUGAAUUGUUAUGUGGAAUCUAGCUCGAGACUGCUUUAAUUCAUUUGCUCACCCGGGGAGUGCUGUCGACAGAAUGCUAUGUUCACAGGAUCAAUACUCUCGGUUACUGAAGCUUUAGAUCAAGCAAAUUCUCCAAGUGCCACAAGCUUAUAUACAAUCAGUGAAAUAAAUUUGAAUUGGUAUUUGUGUUGUAAUGUAUCCCCUUUGAUAUAAAAUAUUUUUGGAUAUUUGUGUUGUAAAUUUGAAUCGAUCAUAUGUGAAAAUCAAGUAAUAAUGUAAUAUAAAAGGGAAGUAAAAACUCAUGGAAUUGAAAAGCCCCCGCUGUGUAAAAACUCACAAAACCAAAUGGAACUAUAUAAAUUAAUACAACAUCGCUUGAGCAUGCCUUUAAGCUUGUUUAAAUCUUAAAACUAGAAUACAUAACGAUACACCAAGUCUUAGUACCAUGAAAACCCAAGCUUGGAUAAAAUGGGAAGAUUUUCCACUAGAAAAUAAUAGCAAUUGUUGAUACUAACCUCGAUAAAGUGAAACCAAGCUCGUCGCCAAUAUGGAUUUAUGUAUAGAACUGAAACUAUUACCAGCAGCACUAUGAGGUAUGCAACCUCAAAGGUCACAUAGAAAACCUCCAUAUCCAUGAAGCCACCAUUAUCUUCAUUGUUCGUUGAAGUUGGCGUUGGUGAUGGUGGCAUAGCCACACCACAUAUUUUGGGUAGCAGUUCUCCAUAAAGAAAAGGGUUGUCCUUGUAGCAACUCUCAUCAAACGUGGCAAAAUGUGCAACUCUUGCAGGAGUCCUGCCGGACAGAUUAUUGUGUGCCACACUGAAAAACUCUAGAGAAAAUAGUUCAGUAAGUCGAGGUGGGAUUUCUCCAUCCAAAUUGUUGUAGGAAAGAUCCAAGCUCUCUAUUUCCUUUAAGUUUGAAAAUGUUGGUGGAAUUGGUCCGGUCAAACCGUUGUGCGAAAGGUUCAAUGCCUUGAUCAUACUGAGGUUUCCAAAUUCAGGAGGAAUCUUUCCGGUGAAAUUGUUGCAUGAGAAAUCAAUUCCUAUGAAGUACCAUAUAUUGUCGCCUCUAUAAGAAAGGGAUACAUUCUUUGUUGUAAACUCGAAGGAUUGUUGUGAUGAGGAUAUAGAAUCAUAAAAUUGUAUAACUGUGGGAAAGGAUGAGUAGAUAUCAUCCAAGAGAGGAUGUUACCAGAAAGGUGAUUAUGAGAAAGAUCAAUCAAGGUUAAUUGGUACAACCUGGAUAAUUGAAUUGGGAUUUCACCUUCAAGAUUGUUAUAACUCAAGAGUAGAAAUCUCAAGUUAGAUAGCCUAUCAAUCCAUUCUGGAAUUGUACUAGUUAAAUUAUUAUGGGAAAGAUCCAAUGCCACUAUCUUAGCGGGGUCAUAAAAUGCCAUUGUGAUCGGUCCUUGCAACUUAUUUCUAGACAAAUAAACAUAUCUCAAAUUUAAAGAAGUGCCAAAUCUAGGUGGUAAACGACCGGAGAAAUUGUUCCCUGAUAAGUCCAAGAAUUCAAGAGAAGACAUAUUCCUUAUCCCUUCAGAGAUCUGCCCUUGCAAAUUGUUGUUGGACAGGUCUAACACUUGCAUCGAGGUAAUGUUACCCAAUGAAAAAGGAAUGCUUCCAUUAAAACCAUUGUCAGACAUAAGUAAAACUGCUAACCCUGGCAAACGAGCUCUGAUUUCUGAAGGUAUUUGGCCUUGGAAGUGAUUCAUGGAUAUACUUAGGAAUGAUAAAUUCACAUGAGAAUUCUUUGGCAACAAGAAUGGACCCGAAAGAGAACAGUUUUCUAAAUAAAGUACUUAUAGGUAUGUGUUGUUCUCAAUCAACCAAUUUGAAAACUCUCCCUUUAUUUGGAUGUUUGCAAGAUCCAAAUAUUGCAGGCUAAACUGAUGGUAAAAGAACUUGGGUAAUGCACCCGCAUCUUGUCCACGACCUCUUAAAUAGAGGGACUCUAACUGGAACUUUGGGCUCAGAUUAUGAUCAUUUUCUUCUGUGAAUAUUUCAUUACCCAACCCAUUAAAAGACUUGAGUUUUGAAAGGUUGUAUAAUGGGCUCAAUGACAUAGGAAUCUUCAAGUUGUUGGAAGAGAGAUCUAGCCGUUGAAGGGAAGUCAGAUUUGCCAGACACGGAGGCAAGAAACCACUGAGAUCAUUGUCAUACAUAUACAGCUCUUGGAGAUGAUUUAAGUCACAUAGGCCUGGUUACAUUAUAAUAUAGAGAAAAUUAAAACUUUGAGUGUCUAAUAGAAAAUACAUAACCUAGAGAGAGAAUAAUGCUUUGUUUGUUUCAAGGAAAACGAAUUCCUGGAAUUCGUUUUCCUUACUUUCCCAUGUUUGGUAACAAUAUGAAACAGUAAGUCAACGGAAACUUAAUUCCGGUCAACAUAAAAUCGUUGUUUUGAGAAAGGAAAGUGUUUUCCUUCUGUUAAAGAAAGGAAAACACUUUCCUUUUGGCGUGCGUAGCGAACGCCUGCCCAAUGAAUUAUUAUUCACUUGCUACAGUAGCAAGUGAAUUAUAAUUCACUGCUACUGUAGCAACGAAUUAUAGUCCUGGGUUUUUUAUUAAAUCAAAGUUUAAUUAAGUCCUCAAACUCAUUAAUUCUUCAAUUAAACUCUUGAUUUCAUUAAUUAAAAUAAUCUAAAAUUUAAUUAAAUCAAUUCUCCAAUUAAACCCUUGAUUUAAUUAAUUAAACUAGUCAAGAGUUUAAUUAAAUCUUUAAACUUCCAAUCAUGUUGCCCUUAACCCAAAUUUUAAUUCAUCCUUCAUUUAUUUUAUUUUUAUUUUUCAUCAUCUUUUUUUUUAAUAAUAAAAAUAAAAAAGGUCAAAAAUUGGGUUAUGACAAUUGUAAGUGAUUAAAUAUUUUAUAUUAAAUAUUUUAUAUAUAUUAGAUAAACUUGAAAAAAAAUUUAAUUCAUUAAUAAAUUAUUUUCCAGUUCAUUUUCCAUAACACAACCAAACAUUGGAAAGUGUUUUCCAAUUCAUUUUUCAUAACACUACCAAACAUCGGAAAAUAUUUUCCCGGAAUUCACUUUCCCCGGAAUUCAUUUUCCAAAAGGAAUCCACUUUCCUACAAACAAACGGAGCCUAAGAGUCAUUAACCUUACCUUGAGCUAUAGGUAUUUGGCCAUCUAGUUUGCAGCUCACCAAAAUCAAAGUUUUGACAGAGGUCAUUGUUCUGAUUGAUUGUAAGAUGUUGUUAUCAAGAGUAUUGGAACUCAAAUCUAAGUAUUCCAAGUUCUUGAGAUCAAGGAAGCCUGUCACGAUCAAUUAAACAAGAAAUUAUAUUAGCAUAGAAGGAAUUAAAAUUAGAAAUAAUUCAUUACUUAUUAAUCAUGGCUAAAAAAACAUAAAAACAUCAAGUAAGUGUAGAAAUUGUAUUGUCCAAUUAAUAAAAGGUUUUUUUAUACAUCUGACCCAAAAAUAGAAAUACACCAUUGUUAAUUUAUUCUCCUCCUAAAAAUAGCACUCUCUAUAUAUGAAGUUACCUUUUCAUUAAAGAAAUUAUUGUUUUUUAUGGUAUCAUUUUAUUUACAUUACACUGAAAUAUUGUUGAGAGAGAGAGGGGGGCAAAAUUAAAUUGAAAUAUUAUUUAUAUUAAAUGAAUUGUAGAAUUUUAAAAUAAUAAAGAUUUCAAUUGAGUUAAUUUCUAAAUUUGAGAUUUAAUUGUCUCUAAGACUUGUUUAGUAGGUUGCUAAAACAUAAAAGAGGAAAUCUAUAAAGACACCUAAUUAUAGCAGGUAUAGAAAGAAAUAAAAUGAUAAAUGAUAAGUAAUAGUGGAGUUGAAAUUUGUUAAUUUACCUUUAGAAGGUACAGUGCCAUUAAGUUCUUGCAAUGACAGAUUUUUUAGAGAAUGCAGUGCUCCAAGGCUUUGAAAAGAGUGUUCAUCUAGAGAACAACCAUCCAGAAACAACUCUUCCAAGGAGCUCAAAUUUUGCAACUCUGUUUGUUCAAAAGUAGCAAAUUGUAUUUUUUCAAUUAAACCCAAAUAUAUGAACAUCACUAUAUAUAAUUACUUACUCUCACCUAAUAUUCUUCCUUUAAAAUCAUUGCCUUCCAGGUAAAGUGUCGUGAGGUUUGGGAAUGAUCCUAAUAAACGAAGAAUACUCAAGUUAAAAAUAUUAUAAUUUCAUCAAACCACUAAUAUGAUAUAUUACACUAUUAUUUUUUUCAUAUUUUGUUUUGCUUUCCCUUGUUUAGAAAAUGCCAUAUUUUUUAAAAAUAAAAAAGAAAUUAUAAUGAUUCCAAUUGAGUUAAUUUCCUAAUUUGAAUAGUCGAUGAUAAGUAAUAGUGGAGUUGAAAUUUGUUAAUUUACCUAUAAAAGGUACAGUGCCAUUGAGAUUUUGCAAUGACAGUUUUUCUAGAGAAGGCAGUGCUUGAAAAAAUAUUAAGUUUUUUUUUUAUCUUUAAAGUUCUUGAAAAAAUAAAUCUAAUCUUUGAUUGAUUUUCUACCUUGAAAGAAACAUGAUAAGUUUUUUUUUAAUCUUAACACUACUGAUCACUUCUUUAAAUAUACGUUAUUGUUGAUGAAUGAGAAUUGAAGUGGAUAAAAUUUUAGGAUUUCUAGAAGAAUUAAUUCUCUCAAAUUUUUUCAUAUUUUCUGUUUUUAUUUUUAUUAACUUGGCUUUUCUUUCAUACUUUUUUAUAUUUUUGGAUGAGAAUGAAAUAUUUUAUAUAAACUUUAAAAACAACUCUGAGAUUUAUUCAUAAAUAUUUUGUGUGACUCUCUACUUAUAUAAACGGAUGAAGUAUGGAAAUUAUAGUAAUUUCUUUUUAUAUAAUUCUUUUAAUCUGAAUAUCUUUUAGGAAAAAAAUGCAUGAUGGCACCAUCCAGCGGGCCCAACUCAUGUGGAAAAAAUGGAGGGAAAAAAAAAAAGCAGGAUGGCAUAGGAUAGCAGUGUACUCUUCAUCACAAUCCCUUUCGUUUUCGUUUUGAUACUAGUUACAUACCCCGCGUGAUGCCGCGGGUCAAUUAUUUUUUGCAUUUUAAAAAUAGCCAAGAUCUAAAAGUGUUAGGUUUUUUUGUAAAGUUAUACCCAAAAGUCUCAGUUUUGGUUGCAUCGCCUGAUCCAAGAGUAAUGUUUAUGAUAUUAAUAAUAAAAUUAAACUUGGGUUAACCCUUAGCAUAAAAGUGUCUGGACCACAAUACCAGAUCCAAUAGCAUUGGACGUGGGUCUGGCUGCAAGGUCGGGUCAUAAAAGUGUGAUAAUUAAAUAGAUUAGUUAAAAAAAAAAACCAACAUGAAAAAAAAAACUAAUGAAAAAAAAGAAAAAAAAAUGAAUUAAUUGGGUUAACCCUUCAAACCAAGUUAACCCAUCAUACCUUGAAUUCGCAUCACACAAAAGUUUGAUAAUUAAAAAAAAAAAACAAAUUAAUGGGUUAACCCAGAAUUAACUGGGCUAACUCUUCAAACCAGGUUAACCUGUUUAACCCGGAAUCCAUGUAAUGAAAGUUUGAUAACUAAAUAGAAAAAAAUUUAACAUUAACAAUUUAAAUUAAACAAAAAAAAUAAUUAAAAAACAAAACAAAAGGCAUUAGCCUUUUCACUGUGGACUGCACUGUGCAGUCCACAGUCAAAGGCAUAAAAAAAAAAAACUAAAGACAUCAGCCAAACACUACUUAGAAAAAAAUUUAAUAUUAAUAAACUAAAUUAAUUAAAUAAAAUUAAUUAAAAAUAAAAAAUAAAAGAAAAAAGAAAAAAAAACCUCUAAGAAGAAAAAAAAUAUACUAAAUAGAAAGAAAUUUAACAUUAACAAACUAAACGAAACGAAAAAAAUAAUUAAAAAAACAAUUCAGGUUAACUCGUCAAACCAAGUUAACCCGUUAAACCCGGGAUCCGUGUCAUGAAUGUCUGGUAACAAAAAAAAAAAUUGAACAUUAACAAACUAAACUAAACAAAAAAAAUUAAUUAAAAAGAAAAAAAAAUCUGGGUUAACUCGUCAAACCAUCUUAACCCGUUAAACUCAGGAUCUGUGUCAUGAAAGUCUGAUAACUAAAUAAAAAAAAUUAUUUGUUAGUUAUGCUAUAAAAUACUUAGCGAUGUCACAGUUAACUUUUUUUAGAUGAGUCUAGAUUGAUUUUUUUUUAAUUUUUAAUUUUUAAUUUUUGAACUAUAAAAUAUAGAUAAAUUUAAAAUAAAUAUUUUUUUACAAUAAUCUUUCUAAUUUACUCCUGUUCAAGAUGAGGCAGUUCCCAUUUGAGGUGGUUCUUCAUAUCCUUCAUCCACCAGACCCACAAAUCUGGUGAGAUAAAGAUUGUCUCCAUUGGAGAACUUCAAUAAUCAUAAUGCUUGUUAUCUAUUUUUUUGUUUCUGUAUAUAUAUAAAAACAAAUUAAAAAAAUAUAUAUUUGAAAGAAAACAAGAUGCCAGAAUGUCUAGAAAAUAGUCAAAAACUAGUUGAGAAAGUUAAAAAAUACAAAGAUUAAAAUUUGAUAGUAUAUUGUUUUAUUGAUGAGAGUCCUAUUAACAAAAAAAAAUUUAAUUUAAGGAAAAAAAGUCAAAAAUCAACAUUCAAAAUUUAAUUUAAGGAAGAAAAUUUUAAUUUAUUUUUAGUUAAUUUUUUACUUUUAAAAAAGCAUGAUAAGUAUUUUUUUUUUUCUUAACACCUCUGGUCGCUUCUUUGAAUAUACAUUAGUGUUGAUGGGUGAAAAUUUAAGUGGACGGAAUUUUAGGAUUUCUAGAAUUUGAGGACCCAUGCCGUGGAAGAAACUGCAUGAUGGAAAUGUUAUCUCGGACCCAACUCAAUGAAAACAAUAUAUCUCUUGUUUUUUUUCUUAAUUUUUCAUUAAUUUUGCCAAUAUAUAUUAAUUAGAGAAAUCCUACUAAUAUUUAUUUUUGUUUUUGCUGUGAAUAAAUUUAAAUUUCCAACGCUGUUGUUGUUGUUGUCAGUUUUUCCAUCUAAAUUGCGGUAAAGGUUGAUCAUCGAUCACAAAUGUUUAUGUUUCGACACCAAAUUCUUUAAUUUCCAUCACAAAUUCAAAUUUAAGUUGAUGGAGAUAUUUAGAGAAUGACUGAAAAUAAAUCAAACCAAAGCUUGUGGAAUUAAAAACUAAAAAAUGGACCAAAUUUAUCUCUACAGGGAGCCAUCAAAAUAAUUAUUUAUUCUGGAGAAAAACCCAAACUCAAUUUCAUUUGAUCAAAGUCACACCUUCAAAGAAAACAAGAAAAAAGUAUUUAAUUGAUAUAAUAAUUUUAAAAAUGAUUUUUUUUAUUUUAAUACAUAAUUCAUAAUAUCUCAAUUGAUUCAUUUAACAUUUAUCUUUAAUAUAUAUAAUUUCUUUGUUUUUUUUUAUAAUACUUUUAAUCUGAAUAUCUUUUAGGAAAAAAUGCAUGAUGAAAAUGUUCACCGAGACACAACUUAUGGAAAAAUGCAUGAUGACACCAUCCAACAGACCCAUUUCGUGGAAAAAAAAAAAGAAGCAUGAUGGCACAGGACGGCAAUGCCCUCUUCAUCCCGAUUUUAUGAUAAUUUAAGUGAAUAGAAUUUUAGGAUUUUUAGAAGAAUUAAUUCUCUCAAGUUUUGUCAUAUUUCCUGUUUUUUUAUUAUUAUUAUUACUUUGGCUUUCCUUUCUUACUUUUUAUAUUAUGUUUUGGAUGAAAAUGAAAUAUUUUAUAUAAAUUUUAAAAACAGGGUCCAUUAAUGGAAAAAUGGUUGAUGGCAAUGGUCUAACGGGCCCAACUCUUGUUAAAAAUGGAGAAACAAAUGCCAACAUAGCUGGCUAGCAUGAUGGAAAAAUCCGACCCAUAUACAAUAUAUGAUUUUAUAAUAAUUUCAUGCGAUAAUAACAUGAAGGAUUUUUUUCAAUCAAAUAAAAAAAUUUAUUUAUCUAUCAAAAAAUUAUUAUGAAUUUAAUAUUUUCAAUAUUUAUUUUGAAAUAUACCACAUGAAAUGUUUAAAUAUUUGCAAUAUGUAUUUUGAAUUUAAUAUUAAUAAUUAUAUCUUCCUAACACAAGUUUACUUUAAUCAAUAAAAACUGGUACACCUUUUGUUUUUUCAUCCCUUUUGACUAAAGUGUACCAGUUUUUGAAGAAAGAUCAACUGGUAGACAUUUUUUCCUCCCUUUUGAUCUUUCUUCUUCUUCUUUCGGCAUGGAAAAAAUGGAAAAUGGCAUUAAUAGUCUUACACGGCAAAAUAGUAGCAUUAACCUUUCUAAUUUACUCCUGUUCAAGAUGAGGCAGUUCCCAUUUGAGGUGGUUCUUCGUAUCCUUCAUCCACCAGACUCCACAAAUCUGGUGAGAUAAAGAUUGUCUCCAUUGGAGAACUUCAAUAAUCAUAAUGCUUGUUAUCUAUUUUUUUGUUUCUGUAUAUAUAUAAAAACAAAUUAAAAAAAUAUAUAUUUAAAAAAAACAAUAAGAUGCAUGCCGGAAUGCCCAGAAAAUAGUCAAAAACUGGUUGAGAAAUUAAAAAAUACAAAGAUUAAAAUUUGAUAGUAUAUUUUUUUAUUGAUGAGAGUCCUAUUAACAAAAAAAAAUUUAAUUUAAGGAAAAAAAGUCAAAAAUCAACAUUCAAAAUUUAAUUUAAGGAAGAAAAUUUAAUUUAUUUUUAGUUAAUUUUUUACUUUUAAAAAAGCAUGAUAAGUAUUUUUUUUUUCUUAACACCACUGGUCGCUUCUUUGAAUAUACAUUAGUGUUGAUGGAUGAAAAUUUAAGUGGACGGAAUUUUAGAAUUUCUAGAAUUUGAGGACCCAUGCCGUGGAAGAAACUGCAUGAUGGAAAUGUUAUCUCGGACCCAACUUAUGGAAAAAAUGCAUGAUGGCACCAUCCAACGGACCCAUCUCGUGGAAAAAAGGAGCAGGACGGCAGUGUACUCGACAGGGCUUUAUUCUUCAACCUCUCGUAUAAUACAGAAGAACUGUGUAAAAUUUAUAUUUUUUUAAUUUAAUGAUGGGAGUUUAUAUUAAAUAUUUUUUUUCUUUAAAUUCAUGAAAAAAUAAAUUAAUGUUUUUUUACCUUAAAAAAAACAUGAUAAUAAUUAUUUUUAUUUUUAUUUUUCAACAUCAUUGAUCACUUCUUUGAAUAUACAUUAUUGUUGCUGAAUGAGAAUUUAAGUGGAUAGAAUUUUAGGAUUUCUAGAAAAAAAAUAAUUAUCUUAAAUUUUAUCAUAUUUUCUGUUUUUAUUUUUAUUAAUUUGGCUUUUCUUUCCUACUUUUUAAUAUUUUUUGGAUGAGAAUGAAAUAUUUUAUAUAAACUUUAAAAACAACACUGAGAUUGAUUCAUGUAUAUUUGUGUUACUAUUAUUUAUAUAAAUGGAUGAAGCAUGAAAAUUAUAGAAGGCGAUAGUUACAAACUAAACUCUGAAGAUGAAAUUGUGAAAUCUCUAGGAGCAAGCUAAAAAUUUAACAAAAUCUGACCAAGUCGUUUUAGAAGCCAAGAAAAAACAUAAAAAUAAUGGAAUCACAUCAACAUCACUAGCAUUAUAACCCUUUCAAAAAUUUAACAAAAUAAUGGAAUCACAUCAACUAAAAAUUCAAGAUGCAAUUGAGAAAUCUGAAGGAGAAAACUAAGAAUCUACCAAAAUCUGACCAAGUCAUUUCACAGGUGGCUUCAAGAUAAAAUAAAAGGAAUCACAUCAACAUCAAUAGUGGUUUCAAUCAAACAGCUCAGAGGCAGGCAAUUUCCCACGGCAAUAAAAGAACUAUAUCCAUCCAAUAAUUUAAGCUAUUAGGUGAGAUUCUAGAAUAUGAUUUAUAUUAUUUUUUAAUAUAUCCCUUCAAGUGAAAGCCCUUUAGGCUUGAAACUUGCAUAGACUCAUAUUAUCUUGUGCUUAAUUUUUAUCAAAUAAAUAGGGAUGGUAAGAUUCAAACUCGUGACUAUUUGGUCAUCAAGACUCUGAUACCAUGUCAAAGAAACAUCUCAACCUAAUAGCUUAAGCUAUUAGGUAAGGUCCUAGGAUAUGAGUUAUAUUAUUUUCUAACACAUAGAGAAACUGCUUUUUACAUCCUCAGCACGGUUGUUCUUCCUCUAUUUGUAUUUUUAAAAACUAAAAACAUAUCUAAAUAAAAAUAUAAUACAGAGAAAAUGUUUCUAGAAUUGUAUAUUUUUAAAAUAAAAAACAUAUAAAAACAUAUUUUCUUUAUCUUUACUAUUUUUUUAUUUUAUAUCACGAUAAUCAAAUGUUGCCUAAUUAAAAGAGCACCAAAUCAUGAUAAAAAUUGCUCCCUUUUUAAUCUAGUUUUUUUUUUUGUUAAAUUGAUAAUUUUGAUAAAUAACACACUUAUUUUAGUUAAAAAAAAAUUAUUAGUAAAGAGGCAUUGGAGCUGGUUUUAAUUAUUUCAAUAAAUAACACACUAAUUUACUUUUAAUCUUAUUUUAGUUAAAAAAAAAUUAUUAGUAAAGAGGCAUUGGAGCUGGUUUUAAUUAUUUCAAUAAAUAACACACUAAUUUACUUUUAAUCUUAUUAUUAGUGAAUUUUUUCUUAAAUAUUUUUGAUUGAUAGGACAUGACAGCUGGUUCUUAAUAUUCUUUCUAAUAGCCUUGCAAGAGUAAUGAGUGUGUUUUUUCUUCACGUUCCUAGUUUUUUUUUUUUGUGUAUUAUUUUUAUUUACUGGUUUCUUGUGAAGAAAUUGACACCUCAAUCGCUUCAAUAUAUCUUAAACAUUUCCAUUAAUUAAUCGGUGGUUGCAUUCUUCUUUCUUUCUUUCUUUUUUUCUUAUGAUAAUUGAGAACUAUAUUCAAAUAUUAAAAUUAAGGCAUGAUUUUCUAGACGUGAUUUCCAUAAAGAUAGUAGGAAGGGCUCUGUAUCAAUCAUCUUCAUGGAAAGUGAGCUGGCCAACGUUAACUUUUUAUUCAUGUUUUUCCACAAAAGACUUUGACUUGGGGUCAAGUUUUCGGUUAAUCGACUUGGGGUCAAUUUUUCCACAAAAGGCGUGAUUUCAAUUUUUUUUUUACAAUGUUAGCAAAAUCACUUUAAUUAUUCUUUCAAUAUUCCCGUACGUGUGAUUCACUGCUUGGUGAUUCUAAAGUCACCUAUUUAAACUUUAGUACGUUAGACAACUAAAUUUACUUUUUCACUCGGUAUUUAUUAUAUAUUCAAUUUGUUUAUAAAAUAAUGAUGUAGAGUUAACCCAUAGAACGAGUUGUUUUAGAAGCCGAUUGUUACAAACUAAAAUUUCAAGACGAAAUUGAGAAAUUUGAAGGAGCAAACUAAGAAUUUACCAAAAUCUGAGCAAGUGGUUUCUAGAUAAAAUAAAGGAAUCACAUCAACAUCACUAGUGCUUUCUAGAUAAGCAUAACCCAUAGAACGGGUUGUUCUUCUACUUAUCAGAUUAAUUUAUAUCAUAAAAUAAAUUAUAACAAGAAUGAAAUGAAAUUGGAUUUGAAAAUUCUCCAAAACUUGCCAAUGCAUGAUGUGUAACAGACCCAUAGAACGGGAGUGAGUUACAAAUGACCCAUAACUCUUGCCAACAAUUUUAGUCUCAAGAAGGUACGGAGAUUUUCCAUGGAUUCGACCUUGAUGAUUGUACAUAAAAUUUGCUUCUAACAUGGUUCCAAAUAUGGCAUCUUUCUGAUUAAUGAACAGGGCAUCUAUUGAUACUACAUAUGAACGAACACUUAAAUUUGUUGGUAAAAGGAAAGAUAUUGUACAGCUAUUGUAAUAUGUAUUUCUUUCUAUUAUGUUUACUGUUUUCCUAUUGUAUUUGCUGAGAUUGAGGCAAUCACAGUUAUUGUGAUUGACCUUCUUAGAAUAGAUUAUUUGCUUCCCUAGAAUAGAUUUUGCAACUUGUAUAAAUCACAUGUAUUACAACCUUCUUAAUAUAUACAAUACACUACAGAGUUUAUAAUUCUUUCAUGGUAUCAGAGCACCAAUAUUGGUGAACCUAUUCACACCUUCCGCCACCACCAAAAUUCAACCAACACAAAACAUAAACAUGGAUGACAACACAUCCAACUCACUCACCUUGCAUGGUUCAGACUCACCAGGGCUUGUUCUUGUUUCCAAGCCUUUUGAAGGACACAAUUAUGGUCAAGGGAGCCGCUCAAUGCGUAUUGCCUUGAGUGCCAAAAACAAAUUGGGGUUCAUUGACGGAACCAUCACACCUCCAGCAAGCACGGAUACCAAAUUUGUUGUUUGGCUAAGAUGCAACGACAUGGUGCUGUCAUGGAUUUUACAGUCACUAAAUCCUGAUAUUGCAAGCAGUGUCCUUUACUACACUAGUGCAUCUAUGGUAUGUAAUGACCUCAAGGAUCGAUUCUCACAAAGCAAUGACUCUAGGAUUUUCCAAAUCCGUCAAGAAAUCGCUGAGCAUCGACAAGGUAACCUCACAAUUUCAGAAUACUAUACUAAACUCAAGGCUUUAUGGGACAAAUUAGAUUCCUCCCAUGAACCCAUCAUAUGCACCUGCGAGGGUUCCAAAACACAAGCCUCAAGAGAAGAAAAGGAGAGAGUCAUGCAAUUUCUAAUGGGUCUUAAUGAAGCUUACUCAACAGUGCGUGGGUCGAUCCUCAUGAUGUCACCAAUCCCAGACACAUGCCAUGUUCAUGGAUUAAUCAUCCAACACGAGCAACAAAUGGAUGUGGCAAAUCGGCAGAUCGAACCCCAUGUUAUGCAGACCAGUCGCUACAUCAGAGGUGGUACAAGACUUGGGAAUCAAAUGAGAAUAAAAUCGCCCGGUGCUGGUAACGGAGAAGGGAAGCACGGUCCUUAUCUGAAGAAGCAACUCAACUGUGCUUACUAGGGGUGUUCAAAAAAACCGACCAACCGAUUAAACCGAAGAAACCGAGAAAAAAUUAACCGAAAUAACCGAACUGAUAGAAAAAACCGAAUAAACCAAUUAAAAAAUAAAAAAAAUCACCCGGUCUGGUUCGGUUCCGGUUUAAAAAGGCUUAAACCGAUUGAACCGGACCAAACCGAACCGGUUUAAUUGAAUCUAAAAAAUAGUAUAAAAGGAAACUAAACCUAAAUAAUAAAUACCCUAACCUAACCCUACAUUUCCAACCCCCCACCUUUCCAGUCGCCCCCCUUCCCUUUCCCUUUCCCUUUCCCUUUUCCCACUUUUGCAUUCCAGCCACCCUACCUAUCCCUCCCUCCCCGCUCUCUCUCUCCCCCCCCUCUUCCCUUUCCCUUUUCCUUUCCCAUUUCCCCCUUUCAAUUCCAGCCACCCCACCUAUCCAUCCCUCCCCGCUCUCUCUCCUCCCCCUUUACCCUUCCCCUUUCUCCCUUUCCAGUCACCCCACCCCUCUCUCUCUCCCUCUCCUCUGUGCACAAGGAAGGCUUAAAGCAACUCAUUUUCUCUCAUAUUGUUGCCUUUCUACUCUCUACUUUACUUUAUGGCAGAAAACUUGGAUAAAAUCCUUGUUUCUGGUUUUAUUAACAUGCAGUUGUGCUAGCAAGGUCCUGGUAGUUUGCGCCUUUGCGGGAUGCUAUUGGAAUCUUUGUUAACAUGUAGUUGUGCUUGCUUGGAUAGAUCCAGUGAUUGUGAUUCGGCCAAGUUUUCUUUUAUUUAAUUUGUUUCGGUUUUUCUAGUUUCUAAGGCUAAAAAACCGACCCGAGCUGAACAAAACCGGUUCGGUUUGAACCGGUUCUUGGUUCGGUUCGGGUUAUAUUAACAAGGAAUAGUAUUUUCCGGUUCGGUUGAUUUUUUAUGUUAAAACCGGACUGAACCGGACCGUGAACACCCCUAGUUCUUACUGUGAUGGAGAACCCACACGGUGGAAAAUUGUUAUUAUAUCAAUGGUUUUCCUGUGGGCCAUAAAUUACAUGGAAAGAAUGUCAAGCCAAGGAAUAAAAGGCCCAAUGCCUACACUGUUGACAAAGAUUCCACCUUAGUGCAUGACAGUAAGCCAAAUGAAAGUCCAACUUUCACCACCGAAGAAUAUAAUCAAUUGAUCGCCCUCUUGCACAACCAAUCCGAUAAUUUUUCACAUGCAAAUGCAACAGGUAUUGUUACACCCACCUGUAAUCUAUCACAGCAUAACCCACAUUCAAACAUAUAUUGGAUAAUGGACAGUGGAGCGUCAAAUCACAUUUCAUGUUUUGCACUACAUAUAACAUGCUGCAUGCUCCUCAUGAUUUUGUUGGGUUAACCAAUGGAGGAAAAGCAAAAAUUCACAACGUUGGGUCCGUUAAAGUAUCUGAAACAAUAACUCUUGAUGGAGUUCUUCACGUCCCUCAAUUCAAUGUGAACUUAUUAUAUGUGAGCAAAUUGACACGAGGAUUGCAGUGUAUUGUGAUUUUUUUUAAUAAAUUUUAUAUUGUGCAGGAUGUGACCACAGGGAGGAUGAUUGGCCUGGGCAAGCAAUUUAAUGGGCUCUACUACCUCACAGCUACCCAAAAUCCACAUCUAGCUCACCAUGUCCACCACACCUCCCAUUCGUGGAGAGAAAACAUCGUCGUCUCUUAAAUGUUGGUCGGGCGCUACGUUUCCAAACCAACAUUCCUUUGUGUUUUUGGGGGGAGAGUUUACAAACUGCAUGUUAUCUUAUAAACUGUCUCCCAACACCCUUACUCAAACACAAAUCACCAUUUGAGCUAUUACAUCACAAAUCUCCUGAUUACUCUGUUUUACGAGUGUUCGGUUGUCUGUGUUAUGCCAUCAAUCUUCUUCCUAAGCACAAAUUUGAUGCACGGGCUCGCUGAUUUGUGUUUUUUGGUUACCCCCUCGGUCAAAAAGGUUACCGCAUUUAUGACCUUACCACACAAAAAAAAAAAAUUCCUCCCAAGAUGUGAUUUUUCAUGAACACACAUUCCCUUUCUCUACAUCUCCACCUGAAACCCAAGAUGAUUUUACUGUGCUACCCAACUCUUCCACCGACCCAUUGCUUCUACCGGUACCCAUCCAUAACCAAAUCCUACCGCCUCAACCAGUCUUCCUUGAUUCCCCUUCCAUUCCCUCUAAUCCUCCCCUGCUUCCCAUCACGUCUACUCCACCCACACCCAUCCCCGACUUAUCUUCACCUCCUUCACCCAUCAUCCCAUGCCUUCCCUCUGAAUCCCCUACCCUUUCCAUAGCCGUCAAUCCAUUGCCCAUUCGCCAAUCCAGCUGCCCCACAAAACCCUUUACCCGCUUCAAAGAUUACCAAACUCGCCAUACCACUCUGCUUGCUCCUGCUGAUCCCUCCUCCGACACAUCUGGCACCCGCUGCCCCAUCACUCGGUAUGUGUCUCACUCUAAUUUCUCUGCACCUCAUCGUACAUUUAUCAAUCAUAUUUCUCAAUUGGUUGAACCUAGCUCCUAUGAGGAGGCACAACAUCACCCUCAAUGGGUUGCCGCUAUGAAUUCUGAAAUCACAGCUUUAGAGGAGAACAACACCUGGUCUUUCACUUCAUUUCUUGCAGGUCAUCGUUCGAUCGGCUGCAAAUGAGUUUUUAAGAUUAAAUACAAGUCGGAUGGUUCCAUUGAAAGAUACAAAGCCCGCUCGGUUGCCAGGGGCUAUACCUGGCGUGAAGGCAUCGAUUACACCGAAACCUUUGCUCUUGUUGCUAAGCUCAUCACUGUUUGUUGCCUCUUUAUUUUUGUUGUUGUCUAUAGUUGGCCUCUGCAUCAGAUGGAUGUGCACAACGCCUUCUUACACAACGAUCUCCAUGAAGAAGUUCAUAUGCUUCCACCGCCGGGGUAUCGGCGCCAGAGGGAGCACAUGGUUUGUCGCCUCCACAAAUCCAUAUACGGUUUGAAACAGGCGUCCCGAAGCUGGUUUUGUAAGUUUUCAACUGCCAUACAGCACAUUGGUUUUUUUUCAAUCCAAAGCCGAUUAUUCAAUGUUCACACAAACACAAGGCAAAUCUUUCACUGUCGUUUUGUUAUACAUUGAUGAUAUGAUAAUUACUGGGAAUAAUGAUGCUGCCAUCCGAGACCUUAAACAUUUUCUCAGCACCCGUUUCAAAAUUAAGGAUCUCGACCCUUUAAAAUACUUCAUUGGGGCUGAGAUUGCACAGUCCAAAUCUGGCAUUUCUUUUUGCCAUCAAAAGUAUACAUUGGAUAUCUUAGAAGAUGCAGGUUUGCUUGGUUCCAAACCUGAAAAGAUUUCUAUGGAUACAAAUGUUGCUCUUAUGCCUAUAAGGAGUAACCCCCUUACUGACCCUACUUGUUAUCGGAGACUUAUUGGACGAUUAAUCUAUCUUACCAUUACAAGGCCUGAAAUCACAUAUGCAGUGAACACACUCAGUCAAUUUAUGCAUGACCCUCAGAAGCACCAUUUUGACACAACACGUCGGCUCCUUCAUUACCUCAAAGGAGCUCCUGGCCAAGGGAUGUUAUUCUCCUCGAAUGGGCCACUACACUUGACUGCAUAUUGCGAUGCAGACUGGGCACGAUGCCCUUUCACAAGACGCUCAAUUACUGGAUAUUGUAUUUUUCUUGGCAGGUCCCUCAUAUCAUGGAAAAGCAAGAAGCAAGUCAUUGUCUCAAGGUCAUCCACAGAAGCUGAAUACCGGUCCAUGGCAGCCACUGCUUGUGAACUUACUUGGUUACGAUACCUCUUACACGAUCUACAAGUACCCCAUCGCCAACCUGCCACCUUACUUUGUGACAACAAAGUUGCCCUCUAUAUUGCAGCCAAUCAAUUCUACCAUGAACGGACAAAGCACAUCGAAUUGGAUUACCACACCGUUCGUGAGAAAAUUCAAAAUGGCAAAAUCAAGACAACUCAUGUGAAAACACAAUUCCAAGUAGCUGACAUUUUCACCAAGCCACUGCCUGCACCCCUAUUCCAAUCCUAUCUUCACAAGUUGGGUGUAAUCGACAUUCACACUCCAACAUGAGGGGGAGUGUUAAAAGGAAAGAUAUUGUACAGCUAUUGUAAUAUGUAUUUCUUUCUAUUAUGUUUACUGUUUUCCUAUUGUAUUUGCUGAGAUUGAGGCAAUUACAGUUAUUGUGAUUGACCUUCUUAGAAUAGAUUAUUUGCUUUCCUAGAAUAGAUUCUGCAACUUGUAUAAAUCACAUGUAUUAUAGCCUUCUUAAUAUAUACAAUACACUACAGAGUUUACAAUUCUUUUAAAGAACCGUAAAUCUCCCUAUCUUAAGUUUAUUACCAGACUUGUUCCUAUCAAUAUAGCCAUCAGAAUUUUGUUUACUGUGGAAAAUCCAUUUACAACCCACAACAUUUUGACUGGGAUUGGAAGGUAGCAGUUCUCAUGUUCCAUUUCAAACAAGAGCAUUAUAUUCUUCAGACAUUGCCUCAUGCCAUUUUGGAUCUUUGAGAGCUUGAGCUGAUGUGGUGGGUUCAAGAGCAAGAGGUUUGGAUAAUUGGGUGUGAAGAUUUAGUUUUUGAAGAGGUUUGCGAAUGUUAUUUUUUGCCCUUGUUUGCAUGGCAUGAUUCGGUUGGGUAGCAACUGGCAAGGGAUUUGUGGCAGUCAUUUGAUGUGUUUGGUUUUGUGUAUUGGUUGUGUUAAGAUGAGAAGUGUCAGGUACAGGGGCUAUAGUGUGUGGUUGUUUUAAUUAUUAGUGGUAUCCAAGUAGAAAGUGUGGUUGAUUCCGGUCGUGGAGCUUGUGUAAGAGAGGAUUUAAAAGGAAAGACUGUUUCAACAAACCUGACAUGCCUAGAUACAAAAAAUCUUUAAUGUUGAUGGAUCAUAGCAAAGAUAGACACUUUGAGUUAGAGAGCAUUCGAGAAAACGAGAUUCCAGUUUAUGACAAGUAUAGCUAGGGGCGAAGCCAAUGAUAACAUAGACAACCAAAACCUUGAGUUUUGAAUAAUUAGGAGGAGUACCCAAAAAAAUUUCAUAAGAGGAGAAGAGAUUUAAUGUUUGAGUUGACAUUCGAUUGAUUAAGUAGACACUUGUUGUAAACCCUCUAUGUGAAAAAUCAUAAAUUGACUAGUUUUAUGUAAAACAAAAACAAUCAUAACUCUCGAUCGGGUUAUCAAAAACUUCUGAAAAUUACGUGGAGUCUUCUAAUAUGAUGCCUUAGCUUAGGUUAAAAUUUCAGAAUUUUUGGAGAAAUUCAGAAAUUUGACGAAAAAUCACAAUUUGACUAGUUUUGCGUUAUUGGACGUAAUUUUCAAUAUGACCAUCAAAUUGAUCUGAAAUUUUAUGAGGAACUUUAAAAUAUAUUGAAUAAAAUCUGGUUAAAAUUUUAAGAUAAAUGGAGCUAGGUAGUACUAACAAAAAAAUAAGGACCAUCAAAUAGAAGCAAAAGGACUCAUUAAGGGUAAAAUGGUUAUUUUCCAUUAAAAAAUAAAACAAAUCACCUCUCCUUUUCUUUAACAUGCUACCAAAUGGGCAGAAGCAGAUUGGGAAAAGAAAGAACGUAAAAGAACGUGAGAGAAAGAGAGAAAAGUAAGGAAAAAAUAAGAAAAUUAAGAGAAUAACCUUGUAAACUUGCAAAGUUCAACUUAGUACCAACUUAGAAGUGUUGUCGAUAACUUGAUACCAACAAAAAUAGAAAAAACUCUGCCGAAAGUUUUAAAAAAAAAGUUAUUCCAUUAGUAAAAAAUAUUUGAGAUUUCAUGACAUUAUAAUUUGAGGUUGUUAUAGUUGUAACAAAGGCAUUAGACCAAUGACUUAAAGGAAUGGAAGCAUGAGAGAGAAGGAUGAGACCAGUUUUAAGAAUGUGAAGAUGAUGUUGUUCCGAAAAGUCAUUGUGUUCGGAUGUGUGAAGUGGAAUAGUAAGAUGAGAUAUACCAUGAAGAGCAAGAAAAUUAGCAAGUGCAACAUAUUCACCACCAUUAUCAAACUACAAUGUAUUGCUGCUCUGAUUGAAGUGUUUUUCCGUAUGUAAUAACUUUGAAUCUAAUGAAUAUGUCUUUUACUUGUGAUUUUUGUUUUAGAGGAUAAAACCAAAUAUACUUAGUAAAAUGAACAAAAAUUACAUAGCCAUCAUAAGAAAUAAUUGGUGAAGUCCAUACAUGUUAAAAAAUUAUUUGAAGAGGUCGAUUAGAAGUAAUGGUAGAAUUGAAAAAUGAAAGUUUGUGACUCUUAUUCCAAUGACAUGCAUUACAAGAAAAAAUUUAAAUGCUGGAAGAAGAUAAAUCGAGUUUGUUUGUAGAAAUGACAUGCUAUAAAAUAGGAAAGGCUGGGUGUCCCAAUCUAUGAUGCCAUUCGGAGAAGGUGGUUUUGACAAUGGAAAAGGUAAAUAGAGGUGAAGAUAUCAGCCACUUAUAUACACCAUCCUUUGCUUUACCUGUCAAAAGCGUUGCUCCUAUAUGAAGAUCAUUUACAAGAAAAGAAUACGGUAAGAAUUCAAUUGAAGCAUUGUUGGACAUACAGAAUUUGGAAAUUGUAAUCAAAUGUUUUUCGUGCUGGGUACACAGAACAUUGGUUAAGGAAAAAUGAGCAUUAGAACUGCGAAGAGAAGUGGAACCAGUAUGUGUUAUGGGAAGCCCUGUGCCGUACCGAUUUUUGUCAUUGCACUAAACAAUGUAUCUUGAUUUCCAUACCGAUUAUACCAUGGGUUUUGUUUGAAAUUUUUAGACAACUGCGCCCUAUGUGUUCAAACCUUGUUGAAAUUUUUUAACGUUGGCUGAGCUGACAACAACCAAAAUUAUUUACGUAGUUGACCUUAGCUGACUUGAACUUUUCUUGGCAAUUCCUUACAAAUGGGCAUAUACAAGGAAGUUUUGGCACUACUGCUGUUCAUUAGUCCCUUGCCUCUUUUUUGUUUCUUUUUCCUUUUCUUUUUCAGGAGUUUGAUGCAAUGUAUGGCAUCGCAUGGCACUACAUUGUUGGCAAGAGUUAUGGGUCAUUUGUAACUCACUCAAUCAAGAGCUAUCCACCAUGUCCAAGAAAAGUCUAUCAACAUCACUAGUCGUUGCUGGAUAAGUAAACAUAUAAGCUUUUCAAUUAAAAAGCACAGAGGCAGUCAUGCUUGACUGAUAAAAGCCCAAAAGUUAUAACUUGAGCUGGUUUUAAUUAUUUCGAUAAAUAACACAUUUCUUUUUAAUCUUAUUAUUAGUUUUUUCUUAAUUUUUUGAUUGAUAAGAAAUGGCAGCUGGUUCUUAAUAUUCUUGCUGAUAGACUUGCAAGAGUAAUGAGUGUGUUUUUUCUCCACAUUCCGAGUUUUGUUUUACUUGUUGAUAGUCCUUUAAACAUACUAUUAACUCGCUCCCAGAAUGGAUAUCAAUGAAAGCGAUGGUUAGCACCUGGCUUGCAGAUGCAAUCAUGUAUGAACUCUGGGCGGGGUCUGAUGGAACCUCUGCCCGCACAAUUUAUCACUCUGGCCUCCCUUGGUUGAUAGGAAAGGCUCUAUUCAUGAAACAAGUGUACUUUGUUAAGCAGCGACUUGGGAUAACUAAAGAAAAUGCUGAACGAAGGGAAGCAGAGGUUACACUUCUAUCAUUGAUGAUCUUUUUCUGCAACUUGUUGAUAUCAAAUCUGUGCACAUACACUAGUGUUAGAAAGCAUACAUCUUUGGAAUGAUUUUACCCGUUUAUAUAUUGCUUCAUUUUCUGUUAAUUUUCCUUGACCAUGGCCUUGCGAUUUUUUUAUUUUAAUUUAUGGAUAGAUUUACAAGAGAGCGAAAAUUGCAUAUGGAGCUUUGUCAACCACAUUAGGGAAUCACACAUUUCUUUUUGAAAGAUGUUUAUUUUUUAUAUCGUGGUUAAUAUAUAUAUUUUUCAUUUUUUACCUGAAAUCAUCUAAGAUAUUUUGGUUUUUGUUUUGAAUUCAAAUUUUAAGUUUGAGGUCUUGACUAUGCAUUGAUUAUACACCCAACUUCAUAUUUCUGUUUGUGCAGGCCAUCUAGUUUGGACAAAUAUUUCCUUGGGCAUGUCCUUUUCACUCUUCAAGCAUUUCCUGUGAGUCACUUCACCAAUUGUCUUCUGUGACAUGAGGCUGUGAGAGCUGAAUGCUGGCAUUUGUAUGGCUAGAACAAUUAAUUACAGCUGAAAAUGUGGUAAUACAUGACCUGGGAUGAUGGUGCAAAAACAAUUACAUUAUUACCCAGAAAAAGUCACAAUGAUCGAAGUAUUGUCUGCAUGUUCCACCAUAUGCACAAUGUCUAUGUUGCGAGUGAAUUAAUUGAUAUGUAUGCAAAAUGUGGGAGCUUGGAUGAUGCACUCAGGAUUUUUGAGAGUAUGCCUCAUAAAAAUGAGGUUUCAUGGAAUGCCAUGAUUUCUGCUCUUGCUUUCCAUGGGCAGGCCCAGGAAGCAUUAUCAUUAUUCAGAGGCAUGUCAAAGGAUAAUGGCACUGUUCAGCCUAAUUGACAUCACUUUCAUAGGAGUACUUGUUAUGAUCCUUGUUAAAUUUUUAGGGAAUGGAAGUUCUGGUGAACCAGAGCAUUAGGGAGACUUCAUUACAAUCCUUAGCAUUGAUUGUGGAGAAGUGAGAAAUAUCAUUCCUAGUGAAGUCCCAAGUGUUCUUGAAUCAAAGCUCCAGGUUAAUUUGUUCUCUCAACAUGCUUGCUUAUAUUUUCCUUUAUUAAUCUUGUACACAAAAGAACUGUAUAUAGGCAGCCUCGUUUCAUUAUUGUUCUAUAAAUAGAAAUUGGAUGCGGACAUCAAGGACGCGAGGAUUGCAUAUUAUUUUGAUUUCAUUGCUGGGACAAGCACUAGAGGCCUUAUGACAUCCAUGCUUACUGCUCCAAAUGAUGAAAAACGACCUUUGUUUGCCGCAAAAGAUAUUGUAAGUUUUAUCAAGACCACAAUCCAGGCACCAAGUAAUUUAUGGUAUUUUUGAGCUACGGUUUUUUUUAUGUUGCUUUUUUUAUGGUAUUUUUGAGCUAUGGUUUGGAAUUGUACAGAAGUAGUAUUCUAUGGUGAUUCAUCCUUUAGGGUGUGGGGUUUAUUCUUUGUUAAAGAAAAGUAAUGUGUUUUUCCGGUGCUAAAAAAAGGAAAACACUUUCGUUUUGAAAAAAGGGUUGUGUUGUCCUUGGUUGGAAACCACUUUCUUGGAAAGUGGUUUCUCAAAGUUUACCAAACAUAGAAUAGAAAAGAUGGGAAAAUUGAUUCCAGGAAAAUAGUUUCAUGAAACAAACAAGGUUAGUAUUUUAAUGCUCCCUUCUUUGCUUUCUUAACUUUCUCCUUGUUCUGGCUAUUGCAGCAGGAAAUAUGAUAAAGCUAAAGGACAUGCUAGGAAGAAAAGAAGUGAGAUCCUGAAAUGCAUUUUGCUUUGUCAGUGUUUUAAGCAAGUGGAGGUAAUUAAAGAUUCUAACAAGAGACUUAACUUUAUUUUCAUAUAUUCUUUCACUGGAUAUUUGUCCAUGUCUAAUUGGAUCUAUUAUUCUUGUAAUUCUUGUUUUCUAGUUUUUUUUAGAGGAAGUUUUUUUUCUUUUAAGCGGUGAAAGCUAAUGAUAUCAGGUUUUCUAGUUUUCUGCACAUCACUUUUGGAACAUUAGAGACCUGGUCUGAGCGUAAUCAAAUGAAUUUAAUCAAGCAUUGCGGCAUAUGCUGGAUGUUUGAGAUUAUAGUAUUGAGAAGUGGGUUGAAACUUAGAAGCCAUCAUACACGUGGAGAUGAAUUGUUAUGUGGAAUCUAGCUCGAGACUGCUUUGAUUCAUUUGCUCACCCGGGGAGUGCUGUCGACAGAAUGCUAUGUUCACAGGAUCAAUACUCUCGGUUACUGAAGCUUUAGAUCAAGCAAAUUCUCCAAGUGCCACAAGUUUAUAUACAAUCAGUGAAAUAAAUUUGAAUUGGUAUUUGUGUUGUAAUGUAUCCCCUUUGAUAUAAAAUAUUUUUGGAUAUUUGUGUUGUAAAUUUGAAUCGAUCAUAUGUGAAAAUCAAGUAAUAAUGUAAUAUAAAAGGGAAGUAAAAACUCAUGGAAUUGAAAAGCCCCCGCUGUGUAAAAACCCACAAAACCGAAUGGAACUAUAUAAAUUAAUACAACAUCGCUUGAGCAUGCCUUUAAGCUUGUUUAAAUCUUAAAACUAGAAUACAUAACGAUACACCAAGUCUUAGUACCAUGAAAACCCAAGCUUGGAUAAAAUGGGAAGAUUUUCCACUAGAAAAUAAUAGCAAUUGUUGAUACUCACCUCGAUAAAGUGAAACCAAGCUCAUCGCCAAUAUGGAUUUAUGUAUAGAACUGAAACUAUUACCAGCAGCACUAUGAGGUAUGCAACCUCAAAGGUCACAUAGAAAACCUCCAUAUCCAUGAAGCCACCAUUAUCUUCAUUGUUCGUUGAAGUUGGUGUUGGUGAUGGUGGCAUAGCCACACAGUUCUCCAUAAAGAAAAGGGUUGUCCUUGUAGCAACUCUCAUCAAACGUGGCAAAAUGUGCAACUCUUGCAGGAGUCCUGCCGGACAGAUUAUUGUGUGCCACACUGAAAAACUCUAGAGAAAAUAGUUCAGUAAGUCGAGGUGGGAUUUCUCCAUCCAAAUUGUUGUAGGAAAGAUCCAAGCUCUCUAUUUCCUUUAAGUUUGAAAAUGUUGGUGGAAUUGGUCCGGUCAAACCGUUGUGCGAAAGGUUCAAUGCCUUGAUCAUACUGAGGUUUCCAAAUUCAGGAGGAAUCUUCCCGGUGAAAUUGUUGCAUGAGAAAUCAAUUCCUAUGAAGUACCAUAUAUUGUCGCCUCUAUAAGAAAGGGAUACAUUCUUUGUUGUAAACUCGAAGGAUUGUUGUGAUGAGGAUAUAGAAUCAUAAAAUUGUAUAACUGUGGGAAAGGAUGAGUAGAUAUCAUCCAAGAGAGGAUGUAACCAGAAAGGUGAUUAUGAGAAAGAUCAAUCAAGGUUAAUUAGUCCAACCUGGAUAAUUGAAUUGGGAUUUCACCUUCAAGAUUGUUAUAACUCAAGAGUAGAAAUCUCAAGUUAGAUAGCCUAUCAAUCCAUUCUGGAAUUGUACUAGUUAAAUUAUUAUGGGAAAGAUCCAAUGCCACUAUCUCAGCGGGGUCAUAAAAUGCCAUUGUGAUCGGUCCUUGCAACUUAUUUCUAGACAAAUAAACAUAUCUCAAAUUUGAAGAAGUGCCAAAUCUAGGUGGUAAACGACCAGAGAAAUUGUUCCCUGAUAAGUCCAAGAAUUCAAGAGAAGACAUAUUCCCUAUCCCUUCAGAGAUCUGCCCUUGCAAAUUGUUGUUGGACAGGUCUAACACCAACCAGGGUUAUAUGUUUGUGAGUAUGGGUUAUGGUUUAGCCUUUGGAAACUGUUUAAAGCAUGAGCUUAUUCAUGGAGGCAUUCCCUAAAAGAAGGCAAAGUUGGACAAUCAUUUGUUGAGUGUUCAUUGGUUUCACAGAUUUGACACACAAUGUCUUGAACAGAUUUUAAUUGACCACUCUUUUUCAAUUCAAGUGCUUCGACUUUUCUAGCUAAAGAUGCAAACUUGGCUUGGAGGUCAUGAUCUUCCCUAAGGUUGUGCAUACCUCCACUAGAUGUAUGAGGUUGAGUUUUACUUGGUGCCUCAUAAGUACCUGUGGUGUCCCAAUUUUGAGCAUUUUCGCUAGCAAGUCUAGGUACUCCAUUGCUUCAUUAGGGUCUUUAUCUUCAAAAGUUCCAUUGCACAUCAAUUCAACCAUUUGCCUAUCUCUAGGUGUUAAACCUCAUAAAAAUGUGAAACCAAUCUCCAUGUUUCAAAACCAUGAUGUGGGCAAGUAUUAAGCAAAUCUCGAUACCUAUCCCAACAUUGGUAAAAUGUUUCUCCUGGCUUUUGAGUGAAAGUGAUGAUUUGUCUUUUGAAAGAGUUUGUUCUGUGAGAUGGAAAAAACUUCUUUAAAAAUUGUUGUUGCAUAUCAUCCCAAGCACGAAUGGAUCCUGGUCUCAAAUUUUGUAGCCAUGUUUUAGCUUUAUCUUUUAAUGAAAAAGGAAAAAGCUUUAAUCGAAUGGUGUUCAUGCUACAAUUUGAGUCAUUAUAGGUAUUACAGACCUCCUCAAAUUCCCUUAAAUGCAAGUAUGGAUUUUCUAAGUCUAAGCCAUGAAAAGAUGGUAAAAGUUGAAUAAUGCCUGGCUUAAAAUUAAAAUGAGAUGCAUCAGGAGGGAAAACUAUGCAUGAGGGUGCACUUGUUCUUGUGGGAUUCAUGUGGUCUCUAAGUGUUCUCAUACGGUUAUUCUCAUUAUUCUCAUUAUGAAGUGAUUGAUUAUCUUCUUCGGCCAUAUUUUCUGAAAAUGAUGAGGAUACCCUACAAAGUCUACCACUUAAUGUACGUGACCAAACUCUCAUGCACGUGUAAGAAGAGAAUAAAAGCAAGAAAAGAAAAUAGAAGAAAAAGAAACAAAACAAAACAAAAAACAAAAAUAGAUAAAAUGAAAAGUGAAAAGAGAAAAUAAAUUAAAUAUUAUAAUUUAUACAAGAAUUUACCUCCCCGGCAACGGCGCCAAAAACUUGACACGACCAAAAGCUUGAUGUCUUUCCCAAGUGCAGGAGUGUCGAAGUAAUAAAUAACCCGGCAAGACCGGGGUCGAACCACAGAGAGGUUAAUUGUAUAAAUUAUAAAUAACAAGACAACAACAACAACAAAACAACAACAAUAACAAUAAUAAUAAUCUCAGUACGUGGCGUUGUUAUACCUGAGAAUGAUCUAAAGAUCGGGUCACAGGUUUCCAGCCUAUAUACUGAGUUUAUGAAAAGAUCAAAGAUAUAUAUAUAUAUAUAUAUAAAACAGAAUGUAAAUAAUAAUAAUAAUAAUAAAACAGAAGAUGAAGAAAUUAAUGAGAACUUUGAGAUAAAGAUUAACGUAAGGAUUAAACAAUGAUAAAAACAAAUGUCAAGGUUAGAGGAUCCACUAAUGGUACUUCAAACAAGUAUAAUAUAAACUCUUAUUACUCAAUUGGAAACCACACAUAAAGGAGGUUCCAAUCAGAUUAUAAAUUGUUAACAUGAUUACAUUAAUUAUCUUAUUCGAAUAAAGCUAAUACUUGUAAAUGUUGGCAGGCAUUCAUGAUUAUAACUUAUGUUAACAACAAAUCAAGUUCCUUUCAUAGCUCAGGUGUCGGUUAAACCAUACAGUAUGGGCUAUGAAAGUGCCAAGUAUUUGUUGUACCAAGUGUUAUACAACAUAAAUCUAGAUUAACCAUUUAACAAGCAAAGUAUUAAAGUGAACAAGAUAACAAAUAUAAAACAUGUUAGUAUCCAACGUUAAGGUCCAUGUUAAGUUUAUAUUAUACUUGUUCUUACACCAUUAGUGUACCCUUUUCACCUUGACAUAAUUAACUUAGCUAACAUAAUGAAAAGAAACAUAAAUGAAACAAGAAACAUAAAUGAGAAAGAAGUUAACUAAAAAAGGAAAGGAAAUGAAGUGCAUAAACUUGAUAUUAAUGAAAGCAAGACAUAAGCAAUACAAAGAGAGAAAGCAAGAGCAUGAUCUUGAUCUGAACACCAAGAUGCCUCAAUACAUGGUAAGUGCCUCCUUUUAUAGGCCAAAAUUUGGAACUAUUGAUUUGUUGACUAAUUGAUGAGUGGGUGGCCACAUCUUGACUAGAUAACAAUCCUUAUCUUCUUGUCUGAUCAAGACGUCAUUGCUAACAUCAUAAUUUGCCCAGAAUCCUCAAGAAUGUUCUAGGAAAUUGUCUCAGCUUUCCAACAAAAAAAAGAUGAGGUCAUUUGGACUUCUAGAACUCAAGAUAUGGGCUGAACACUAAAUAGUGUUUGGGCUGCAGGACAGCUUCGGACUUCUUCGUUGUUCCUUCAAUUUGGACUUCAAAACGACCUUUUCAAAUCUUGGGCUCCUCAUGAAAGUUGUAGGCCUUCUUUACCUUUCCAUCCAUAUAAAGUGGACCUAAAUCCGAAAUCUAGAGCUCCAGAUAUGAUCCAAUUACCGAGCAAUGUUCCGGUUUGGACUGCACCGACAUCUCUUUUCUAAGUUUGGCCAUCUCUUUGUCCUUUAACUUUCAAUGCUUAAACUCAUCAAUCAAUCCUUUUAUUUAUGUGAUAGUCCUGCAUUUAAAAUGAGCAUUUACCAUAAAUUAAGGUAUCUUAUAAUAUCAAACUUGUUAUUAUAAAACAUGCUUUAGUUAAGGAGUUAUUGAUACUUCAAGUGUAAAAUGAUGAUAUAAAACCUUGAUAAACAUGCACUUUUAAGUAUUAAUCACUAACCCACAUCAUGAAAAAAAUACAGAUAGCAAUGGUCUCACAGACCCAUCCAACACUGCAAAUUCCUAUCCAUCUUACUUGUUGAUUGUGUUACAAAAAAUACAUCUAUAAGUACUUUAGAAAUAAAAAGAAGAAUUAUUUUCAUGACAAUGAAAAGAAGUAUUUUAGAAAUAUUUAUCAUUUAUGGUUCAUUUUAUCAACGAUACUAUUUGAUUUUGCCAUCACCAUCAAAAUUAAGGCAUGAUUUUCCACACACUAUUUCCAUAAUGAAAGUAGCAAGUCUUAUGUAUCCAUCGUUAUCAUGCAAAGUUAGCUUCCUAGCAUUAACCUUUUAUUCAUAUUUUUCCAUAAAACAUUAGGUAACUUAAAUAUGUGCAAUAUAUAUUUUAAUACCAAAAUAAAUAUGGAUUAGUUAGAAUAAUUAUAACUAACUAAUAUAAUAGGUUUUAAUAUUUAUUUUUAAUAUAUAUAAAAUGAAAGAUAUUAUGAUCUUUUGAUUAAUGAUGUUAAGCUAGCCACGUAUGUUUAUAAAAAUAAUUUCUAUCAACCAAAUGAUAUGCUUAAGAGUUUACAAGAUGUAUUUUGAAUUUAAUAUUAAUAAUUAUAGCUUCCUAAAAUAAGUUUAUUUAGUUAAUAAAAACUGGUCUAUUUUUGUUGUCUCGUCUCUCUCUCUCACUUUUGUUCUUUCUUCUUCUUCUUCUUCUUUUUCUUCUUCUAAGCUGCUUUGUCUCUCUUUCUGUCCCCCAUUAUCUCUCAAUCCAUCAAAAUUCUAAAUACAUUGCAUUUAGCGUUAAUAAGAAUGAUACCCAUUGAAUUAUACAUAUUAAUCACUUGAUGAAAAAUUAAAUAUGACUAAAUACAAAAAAAAUAAAAAAAUGCAAAAAUAAUGAUUAAUUAGUCGGUGGUUGCAUUCUAACACACUAAAUUGAGAUUUAUUUUUUUAUACAAGAUGAAAUUAAAAUUAAAGCAUAUUAUCCCUUCUCAAGCUUACGAGCAUAUAUGGUCUUACGGACUUAUGUCAUCUCCUAGAAAAAACUCUUGAUAGCAAUAGUCUCACAGACCCAUCUCACACUGCACAUUUCUAUUCAUCUUACUUCUUUAAUUGUGGAUUCAAUCAAUGUUAUUAAAAUCAAUUUCAACAUAAAAUUAUUUUUAAUAUCACAAUAUCAAAAAAUUUAAAAAAAUAAAAAAAUAAUUUAAAUAAAAAAAAUCAAUUUUUUGUUCUAUUUUUAUUCGGAACACAAUACCAACCAAUUAUUAAAAUCUAGUUUAGCUUGAGAGGAUGUGAUUAAAAUAAUUAUUUUGAUAAAUUUCGUUGAUUACAUUCCUAUCCACCAUUUUGAUUGUCAUAACCCAAUUUUUGAUCCUUUUAUUUUAAUGAUUAUUUUUUUUUUUUUUACUGAAAAUGAUAAUAAUAAUGAUGAUGAUGAUGAUGAUGAUGAAAAAGUUAAAAUGAAAUAAAUAAAGAAUGAAUUAAAAUUUGGGUUAAGGGCAACAUGAUUGGAAGUUUAAAGAUUUAAUUAAAUUUUUGACUAAUUUAAUUAAUCAAGUCAAGGGUUUAAUUGGAGAAUUGAUAAGUUUUGAGACUUGAUUAAGCUUGAAAUUAAUUUAAUUAAUCCAAUCAAGGGUUUAAUUAGGGAAUUGACAAGUUUUUAGACUUAAUUGGACUUGAAUUUAAUUAAAUUAAUGAAAUCAGGGACUUAAUUGAAGAAAUAGAAAAGUUUGGGGUUAAUUGGGGGCAUGAUUGCAGCAGAUUAAAGUCCAAGGACUAACUUGUAAAAGACGCUGAAAUGCAGGGGGGCAAUUACAGUUUAAACCAGGGGCUUAAUUACAAGACUUUCAAAACUGCAUGGGUCAAAACAUAAAAUGGUCGUCUUUUAUCUCCAAACGACGUCGUUUUGAAGACGAUGUUCAUCUUCUUCGCCUUUAAGCCAGUGAGGGUUUUCUACAGUAAAGGAGGGAGAAUGUUGCAGUAGUAAUCGUCGUCUGCUGGCUUUAGUUAUGGGCACCUUAAUGGUGAUCAACCCUCAGUCUACCACCCGUUAUCAACCCGCCAGGCUUUAUAUAAACAUGACAGCACCAAAAAACAGAGGGCAGUGAGAGGGAGAGAGAGAUGAAAGAAACCUGGAAAAAAAAAAAAAGAGAAACACAAAGACACCAGCCGAAUUUUUAAGUGUUUUUCUUUAACCCCAUACCAAAAACAAGCUUCCCCUCACCAGUACUGGCCUAAAGAACGAAGGAAGAAACAGACUGAGAGAGAGUAGAGAGAGUUUUAAAAAAACAAAGCAUUGGGAUAAUUUUUCAGACGAGAGCAGAGGAAACUAAAGGCAGGAAAGCAGAGGUAGAAGGAGGAAUUCUAGUGUCCUAUCAAUGGACGCCACCGUUGAUCUUCGUCUGACACGCUAACACUCCGGCAAAGUAACCUGCAGCAAGGUAAGCCUUCUUUUCUUCUUCGUUUUUGUUUCUUAAGUUCAGUGCAUUCAGCACUAUGCGAAGGUAAUUAAUUACCUUCACACGGUGCCAAGCACGCAUGAAACUAGUUCAUGUGUGCUGUGGCCCAGCUGGGUCGAGCCCAACCCAUGUGGGCUGCGUUGGGCCCAGCCCCUAAAAAGAAAUAGAAAAAUAAAAAAUAAAAAAAUAAAAAAUAUAGAAAAAUAGAAAAAUAUGUGUAUGCAUGAAUAAAAAUAAUAUAAAUUUACCGGUUUAUUCACCAACGCCAGAGUCGGGAAUAAAAUACUAGUUUAAAAUUAUAUUAUUUUUAUUCGUUAUAUUUUAUUUUAUUUUAUUUAGCAAGAAAAAGUAAAAAAUAUUGUGCAUGUAUGAAAAGUAAAAUUUAUUUUAUUGGUUUAUUCACUAACGCCAGAGUCAGGAAUAAAAACACUGAUUUAAUUGUUUUUUAUUUUUUUAUUUAACCACAUAAGAAAUAAAAACAAAUAUGUGAAUGCGCAAUAAAAUGAGUUUAGUUUAUUUUUUUAUUCACUAGCGUUAGAGUCAGGAAUAAAAAAAUAUUGAUCUAAAUUUAUUUUAUAGCUACGUAAUAGUUACCAGCGCCAGAGUUGGAAUUAUCCGUAGUUGAAUAUUCAUUGCCGCAAGAGUCAAGAAUAUUGCGAAUAAACCAUCAGAGCAUAAACCAAUAAAAAUUUAGCAAUUUAAGACAAAACCAGCAAUGCAGUUUGUCUUAGGCAGAACGUUUAAAAGGUGAUAAUAUCUUCCCUUUUACGUAACCAGUCUCGAACCAUAGAAUCUCUGUUAACCAGUUAGGGUUCCUGGUGACCAUAAUACUAGGUGGCGACUCCUUAAAUAAGACCUUUUUUUUCUAAAAGAACCAGAUGCCAGAAAUCUGUUCUUUUUCCUUAAUCAAAAAUUAUUUUUUAGGGUCGACGCGAUGUCGGGUGCGACAGAAUGGCGACUCCACUAGGGACUAAUGGACUAAGCUUUGCCUUUUGUUUGUCAAUUGCUAUAAUAUUUGUUAUGUUGUGUUUAUUUGUUUAUUUUUCUUGCAUUUACUGCUUUAGCAUGCAUCCUUGUUUAUAUUGCCAUGCAUCACGUUAAGAGCACGCACUUUACAACCUAGGAUAAGUGGGGGAGUAACGGUACCCCAAUGGCUUUAGGCUGGGUAAGACUCGUGAAACAAUCCAACUCUCCCUUGAUUGUUUACUUCGAAGUGGUUGAUAUGUCAAACUGAUAUUACUCAAGGCCUUUAUCUUCACACUACUUGUAAGCCUACUUGUAAGCCUCAUAUCGACCUUUUCAAAUAUGAUCACUAAGCAUGCGAGAGACCUUUUGAAACUAGAUAAUGACUAACCCCUUAAUGCACUCAACAAUUAGGAUCUUCCUACUAGGUUGUCAUCCCGUGAGGGGCAAGUUUGCAUUUCAUAUAUUUUUUUUAAUCAACAUUUUUGCAUAAUUGCAUGAUUUACAUUUAGCAGGUUGAAAUAUAGGUUCCCCAUUUAAACCUGCCAAUAACACUCGUUCGAGAAAAAGACAAAUGGAAAAUGAAGAAAGAACCCAGUUGGAAGCCCACCAUCAAAAGGAGGUGGAUAAUCUUAGAGAAAAAGUCACAAGGCUUACUAGUCUACUCAAGCAGGAUUAAGAGAUAAAUUCAAAAAAGCAAUACUUAUAGCUCAACCUGAAGAUAUGCAUGUAACUCAUUUCGAUCCACAAAAUCUAGGGGCAAAUAGGGUGUCAUCUGAAUUUCAACAAGCUAUGCAUUUCCAGCCAGCAUACCUCUCAAAAAUUUCAUCUACCAUUGAUUCUACCGAGAAAGAAUCUCAAAAGGGCAAGAUGGUGAGAGAAGAGGGUUUGGAAAAAUAGACUACCCUAGAAGAGAGGAUAAGGGCAAUUGAGGGAAACCAUUUGUGUGACUUGGUGAAAGCUGUCAGUAUGUGUUUGGUACCUAACAUAGUCAUUCCUAAGAAGUUUAGGGUGCCAGAAUUUAUUAAAUAUACAGGAACUCAAUGCCCUAUAACUCAUCUCAAAGCAUACUGCAACAAAAUGGCUGAGGUGGUUGAUGAUGAGAAAUUAUUGAUUCAUUUCUUCCCGGACAGCUUGAGUGACGUUACCCUCACUUGAUAUAUGCAGUUAGACAAUACCAAGGUUAAAAAAUGAAAGAAUUUAGUUGAUGCCUUCAUGAGGCAAUAUAAGAAAACAAGAAAAUCAAUUUUUUUGAGCCCUCGCUUUUCUUUGAUUGAUUUAAUCAAAUCACACAAUCAAAGAAAACAAGAAAAAAUAUUUAAUCGAUAUAAUAAUAAAAUAUAUAUAUAUAUAUAUAUACUAGAAUAGGUGGCACUUGAAUAGCUUUGAAUGUUCACAUGCAUUAUCUUCUAGGCAAGAAGAGAUAAUAAAAGCAAGUGAUGUUCUUUUCUCUAGCUGUAAAUGGAUGGAGACAUCAAUACCAAAAUAAAUAUUGUCGCACGUCAAAAAAAUCCAAUUGCGGGUCCAAUGGCGAUUUUUCUUUUGUUUUUGCUUGAUUUGGUUCUUUGGAGUCGCCACCUAGUAUUUUGGUCACUAGGAACCCUAACUGGUCUUUCAGAGAUUCUAAGGCAAGGAACUGGUUGCGUAAAGGGAAGGUAUUAGGACCCCUAGUACGCCCUACCUAAGGUAAGCUGCUUGGUUUUUGGUUUGCUCUAUAAUUGCUAUGGUGUUGGUGUUUUCUAAUCCCAUCAUUUUUCCUAGGUUUGAUUCAAAUAAAAUUUAUUUAGAUAGAAAUCCAAGGAGAUUCCAUGUGCUUUGAAAGCUCAUUUUUCCCUUAGUAUUUCAAGAGUUUGCGACUCGUAAAUCACAAGGAAAAAGGGACCAAGAUUUAGAAAUCUAAGGAAAUUCAGAGCGCUUUAAAAGCUUCUUUUUGCCUUAGUAUUUCAUACUUUCACGGCUCGUAAACCAUGGAGACAAAAGUUGAAAUAUCCUCGAUUAUAAUCAAGGCUUCUUUCAAGGAUGUGUGCGGAUUUAUUACUCCCAAUAAUAUUUUGGAUAUUCGUCAUUUAAGGAUUUCUUUAUCCAAACAUUAGCGGUGAAUAAUAGAUGAAUUCUCCCUACCCAAAAUAAGAUUUUUUUAUUUUUUAGAAUAUUAGCCCAUACCCUUUGGAGUUUUACAAACAUGUUGUAAAAUCCAGAAAUGCAAGAAAAUAAUUUGUGUUUAAGAAAUCUAUGCGAAAACACAUAUUCAAAGCUUCUAAUAUUUUUUAUAUAUAAAAAGAACAUUCAAAACAUGUUAGAGUAUUGGCCGUAUGCAACACGCAAGAAAACAUUUUUUUUUUGUAAACAUUUUUUUUUUACGAAACCGCGUAUUUUAAUACUAAAUUUGUAUCUCCACAGUAUAAAAAUACAAACCAAUAUUAAGUCAUUUUAAAAAAUGUGCGGGAAAAAUCAACAAUAUUUUUAAGGAAUUUUUGAGAAUUUUUUUGAAAGCAAAAAAAACAUUUUUUAUCUUUGAAGAUCUUGGAUGUCUUGACGAAAAACCGGGCAUUUUAAAUACUGAAUUUGUAUCUCCACAGUAUAAAAAUACAAAUCCAUAUAAAACAAAAAAAAUAUAUGAAAAGAAAACAAAAAUAUUUUUUAGAUUUUUUCAGAAUUUUUUAAAAUAUAUAUAUAUAUACACACACACACACAUAAUAUAAUAUAAUAAUAAUAUAAUAUAAUUUAUAAUAUAUUUAUAUAUUAGGUGGGCUGGGUCGGCCCAACUAAAUGGGCCGGACUCAGCCCCAAAAGGGAUUGGGCCGAUUUCGGCCCAAGAAAAAAUCCUACCUUGGUCUGGGCCGGACCCGGCCCAGACCGCCGGGUUGGGCCAGAAUCCCUUUGGCCCAUCUACAUGUUUCUGGGCCAGAACCCGUCUGGCCCAGAGGAGAAGACCAGAACGGGGGGAAUUAUUUUCCCCCCGUCCCCUGCAUGCAGAACGAUUCUGCAUGCAGGAGACGAAACUCGUGCAAAUUAAAAAAUGUGCAGGGGAGGAUGCAUACCUGGCGCGGCGGAGACGAUGGCUUGCGAGCGGUGCUGCGGUGGAGGCGGUGGUAGUGUCCGAACUCACGGCGGCUCCUCACAGCGAUUUCCAAAUGGUCUGGCGACGUCCUCUCGGUUCGUUUGCUUGGUUUUGGUUUUCUAAAUUCCCUCCCGGCUUCAAACCUUCCCUUUUGCUCUCGGCUUCAAACCUUCCCUUUUGCUCUCGGCUUCAAACCUUCCCCUUUGACUCACUCCUCUGUUAUGGUGUUUCUCUCUCCUCCUCUCUCUCUUCGGUUUUCUUAGUUUUCUUCGGGUUCUCUUUCGUUUCUUUUUUUUUUUCGGUCUGUUUCUUCUCUAUUUAUAGGGAUAACAGGGCAAUGGCUUUGUCCUGGCCGCAUGGGGAGUGGGGCACGCUGGUCGGUCGGUCGACAGGCGCCAUUGCCAAGGCGGGUUUCCCUCGGUUUCGGUAGCGCGGCGGGUGGAUGGCCAUUGGCUUCGGUUUCGGUGGUCCCAAGGCGUGGAGCGUCGGGUCACGGCACGUGAGGAGAGAGGCGGGAACAAAAACCCCGGUUUUCCUCUUCCCUGUUGCGCAUGCGGGGGAAGAAGAAAGGGAAACAGUGCCGUUCAAAACGGCACCGUUUGGUCUCUCUUUCUUUUCUUUUUUUUUUUAAAUGUAUGAAACGGCGUCGUUUUGGAGAAAACGCGCCGUUUCAUUCAAAUGUGGCGCCAGAAACGCGCCAAUGAUCAGAUCAGCCCCCCAAUUAUUUUUGUUCAUUUCAAUUGCGUCCCUGCCAAUUUCGGUCCCCACCCCCAUAGUUGGCCGCGUUUUCCACUUUGGUCCUUGGCCUCUGAUUUAUGCAAUUUAGCCCUCAAUUGAUCAAUAAACUUCCAAUUUCUUCAAUUAGGCCCCUGAAUCAAUUCCAAACAGCCCCCUCUAUUUUUACAUCUUUUCCAAAUUGGUCCCUGGUUUUGGAUUUUCACAAUUAAGCCCCUAAUUGGCCAUUAAACUUCAAUAUUUAUGCAAUUAAGCCCCUGAUUUGACCCAAUAAAAUCCUAAAAAAUAUAUUUUGGCCCCAGAACUUAAAUUUCUUCUAAUUAAAGCCCAAAUUGACUUAAAAAUCAAUUUUCCUUGCAAUCAAAUCCUCUAUAAAUCCAAUUAAAAAUCCAAUUAAGUCCAUAAACAUUCAAAUUUGGGCUUUUCUCCUCAAAAUUUAAAUUUUCCUUCUAAACAGGGCCCUCAUCCUUCAAGAAUAUACUGUCAAAAAUCCAAUCUUUGUAUUUUUAUACUCCUUGACCAAUUUUCUGACCAUCUUCUGAGUGCUUCUGCCUUCCGUUAUUUUUCUAACCUCCUUUGGCUAUUUAUUUUAUUUAUUUUUGUAGGGACCCGAAAAUGGGUUACAACAAAUAUGAAUUAGUUAGAAUAAUUAUAACUAACUAAUAUAAUUAGUUUUAAUAUUUACUUUUAAUAUAUAUAUAAUGAAAGAUAUCAGGAGUUGAUUAAUGUUGAAAUUAAAGCAUAUUACCCCUUCUCAAGCUUAUAGGGCAAUGAUCUCAUGAACCUGUCUCGUAGAAAAAACAAAAAAAUGCUUGAUAACAAUGGUUUAAUGGACCAUCUCACUGGCCUAUAUCGUGAAAAAAAUGCAAACGAUAAUAGUCUCACAAACCCAUCUCACACUGCAAAUUCCUAUCCAUCUUACGUGUUGACUGUGUUACAAAAAAUUGAUUGAUAAGAACUAUAGAAAGAAAAAAAAAAGACUUAUAGUCAUGACAAUAACAAGAAGUAUUUUAGAAAUAUUAUCCUUAAUUGCAUAAAGAAAUAAAAUAUUAUCCUUUGUUGUUCAUUUCCAUAAAGAAAAUAGCAAGACUUAUGUAUCCAUAAUUGUCAUGCAAAGUAAGCUUCCUAUCGUUAACCUUUUAUUCAUGUUUUUCCAUUAAAAAAAAAAUUGACAUGGGGUAACUUUAUAAAAAGAAUACAAGUUUUCGGUUAAUUACUUUUAUGAAAUUCAAUUAUUUUUUUUUCUAUGAUGUUGUAUGUUUAAAUCAACAUUAUUAAAUUAGAUUCAAGAUUUAUAGUUAAUCUGGAACCUAACUUGAUUCAAGUUUUAAAAAACUCAAGUGAGAAUUGACUCAAUCAAACCUGAUUAACCAAAUAAAUCAAUCCACAAUCUAGUCAACCCAAUCAAAAUCCAAUUUAUUAAACCACUUAACAUAUUUAAAUAUGUGCAAUAUGUACGUAUUUUGAAUUUAUUAUUAAUAGUUAUAACUUUUUAACAUAAGUUUAUUUAGUUAAUAAAAACUGGUCCACAUCUGUUCUCUCAUCUAUCUCACACUAUUGUUUCCUUUUAUACUAUUUUUGGGGACUACUUUAUCUAUCUUUCUUUCUCUUUUGCCUCUUAUUAUACUUAUAAAACCUAUUCAAGUAAUAGAUUGAGUGAUUUAAUUUAUAAUAAUAUUAUUUUAAGAUAUAUUUUAACAAAAAAUUAUAACAAAGUCAUUUUAAAAAAUAUUUGAAAAGUCAAAUCUAGUUUCACUUGGAUUUUAACUAGACCAUAUGUUGACCUAAUAGAUUAAUAUAAUUUAAUCGAGUCAGCUCCUAUCCAGUUUAAUAAAACCUAGUUUGAGAGUAAAAUAAUAAAUGUUUUGUAUGAUUAAGUUGACCCGUUAAAUUAUACCGGAUUUAAUAACACCUCUCCCGGUUCUCAAUCCAUUGAACACAAAUUAAAAAAAGCUUUGCGUACAGAUGUUAGGGUUUGAUUAGAGAUUCGUUAUAGCAAAUAGGCUCAAAAGGUUGGAUAUGUUAUUAUUUCCUCCCCCUGUCCUCUGUUUUUCUUUUAUGCUAGCUAGCCUCUAAUUUUGGCUCUACCACCUUUCUAUAAUAAUACUCGCGACUAUUAUAAAUAAAAAAGAAGCAGAAGCGGAAAUAACUUAGCGCGGUUGUGUAUAGAUAGUUUCCUUAAAUGAAGCAUGUACAUGUCUGAUGAGCAGAAAGAAAAAAAAUGGUAAAUGAGGACAGCAUUGCAUCACCACCAUGGCAAACUCGGCAUUGCUGUGCAAAGGAGUGUUUGAUGUGCUAAGGAUAUAGAGCCAAGUAAUUGUUUCUUCUUUGAGACUAAGUGCCAGUGUGUAGCAGAAUGAGCCUUCCUUCUCUCCUUCAGGUCAAUCGUCUUGGAGAGCCUAUGUUCUUGCCUUGAUCAAGACUCCUAUCUUACUUAUUCAAUAAAUACAUCAUGUGUUUUUAUCAUUUCAUAUGGCUAAGACGAUUAUUGAAAGAAUUGUAAAUGCCACAAGAGAAACCUUUAUAUGGACAACCGUUAAAACCUCUAAACGAUAUCUACCACAAAGCAGCUUACCUCAAGUAAAUUACGCUAGAAGUACUAGUACCUUCUGUAGCCACAACUAGUCCAUUACUCUCGAAUCUUUAACAAGAUCAAUAUACUCGAGUUUUCCUAGCCACCUUGAACCAAACAACUAGCUAGGUGGCGACUCCUAAUUGAUGCCAUGAUGUUGCUGUGUCCAUGUGCGACACCAGGGAAGAAGUAGAUGCUGAUGAGGUCAUGUUAAACACUGUUCUUGCAGUUAAGGCUGGUGAAGCUAUACCAAUUGAUGGAGUUGUUGUUGAUGGUAACUAUAAAGUGGAUGAGAAAACUUUAACUGGAGAGUCAUUUCCGGUUGCAAACAAGUGGAUUCCAUAGUGUGGGUUGGAACUAUUAACUUAAAUGGUGUCAAUACUUCUCUCUGACACUCUAUGAAUUGUUUUUUAAUGCAUUUUGGCUUUGUGGUAAUGGGGUGUUAGAACUACCGCUUUAGCUGAAGACUGUGUGGUGGCUAAAAUGGAAAAGCUUGUGGAAGAAGCUCGAAACAGCAAGUCUAAAACUCAAAGAUUCAUAGACAAAUUUGCUCAGUACUAUACUCCAGGUUAGGCAUACUGCAGUCCAAUUACUCAUCCAGUUAUAUAGGCUUUCACUGAAGUAGAGUACCGAGAACGAGUAUUUGGACACAGCCCUUCACAUCAUUCUUUUAGAAUGAAUCGUCAGCUCCAUUGCUAGACAAUCCUACCUUUCAUUUUGUGGGAAAGUUUUCAUUUUAGUUCCUUGUUCAGAUUUGCAGCGGUGAUAUUCAUGCCGGCUUGCGUAGCAGUGAUUCCAUUAGAAUUACGAGUUCAUAACCGUGAUCACUGGUUUUACUUAGCACUGGUUGUUUUAGUCAGUGCAUGUCCAUGUGCUCUUAUCCUGUCUACACCAAUUGCAACUUUUUGUGCACUAACAAGGGCAGCAACAGCUGGUCUUCUGAUCAAAGGGAGGGUACUAUCUCGAAACACUAGGCAAGAUUAAGGCAAUGGCUUUCGACAAAGCCGGCACCUUAACAAGAAGUGAAUUUGUUGUCACAGAUUUCCAACAUCUCUGCGAUGAUAUAAGCUUAUACACGUUGCUUUAUUGGUACAGACUAGGUCUAUAAUUCUUCAAUUAUGGCGACCUUUACUCUUCACUGGCAAGUAAUGUUUAUGCAAGUUUCUCAGGGUAUCAAGCAUCGAGAGUAAAUCAAGUCAUCCAAUGGCAGCUGCGCUAGUCGACUAUGGAAGGUGGCAUUCAGUGGAACCAAAGCCUGAGGAUCUAGAGGGAUUUCAAAAUUUUCCUGGAGAAGGAAUCCAAGGAAAAAAUGAAGUGAAAAAUAUAUGUAUUGAUAACAGAAAGAUUGCUCACAGAGCUUCCGGAACAGGUAAAAAGCCCUAAUUAUAUCCUGGUAAGAAUAAACAAUAUGAUUCACAUUUCAAACUAACCAUAUAUAAAAUAACUUUCAUCUUGAAAGUUUUUGGCAGUCUUAUAAAAUAACCAUGAUUUCUAUCGAUUUGUAAUCUGAUAUGUAAAUCGAUCGGUUCCUUUAAACUAACAAUAUAUGAUGUGUUAUAAUUUAAUUUUUUAUUUUAAAAAAAUAAAAAUUAAAAAUUAAAGUUAAAAAAUUAAACCAAGAUAAUACAGAUUGAGAAUUUGAGGACUAAUAAAGAUGAGAUUAUAAAUUUAAAAGUUAAUUUAGUCAAAACUUGAAAGAAUUGAUAAGUUUGAGGAAUUAAGUCAAUUUUAAAUUAGUUUAAUUAAUAAAAUUUAGAGUUUAAUUAAAAAAAAAUAUCAAAGUUGGGGAUUAAUUUAAGUUAAAAUUAUAAAAAAAAUAAAGUUAAAAAAUCAAAAUAAAUGAAUGGUGAUAUCAUAGGAGGGUUAAUUAAUUAUUCCAAAAGUAAUUUUAAAAUAAUGAAAAGUUAAAUAGCUAAGUAAAGAAUGAAUUAAUUAAAUUGAAAACCAAAAAUUGUUUUUGUAAAUGGCAACAGGGUUUCAAUUGCAAUUGAUCUAGGAGAAAAAUUAAAAUAGCAUUUUCAGGUGAAAAUAACGCCGUUUCAAAACAAACUAUUCAUCUCCUUCAUCCCACCGAUUCAGCAGAAAUGGCAGUAGAUCAUGGUCACGUCUCUAUCCAGUAUCUCUCCUCCACAAUGUGCCCCUAACAGUCCAAUAAUGGGCAUUUUUUUUCUCAAGCAUGACAUAGAGAAGACAGAGAGACUUGUGACCUUCCUCCAGCAAAAGGGAACUUCAACUUCCCCUCACCGUAGGUUGUUGAUCCAACCAACCAAAUACAAACCCAGAUAAACCAGGAAGAACAGAGAAAGGCCACAAAGAAGGGGAGAACCACGGACAUAUAAUACAAAAAAAAAAAAACACAGACGAAAUGAACAAACACAGAUAAUACAGAGAGAGACCAAGAGGAACAAGAACAGAGAGAGACAGAGAGAACAACAGAAAGCAAAAGAAAAAAGAGAGAAAACAAGCAGAGAAAAGCAAGAACAGAGGUGAAGUGAACGAAAAACAGAAGUAGAGGGGAAGAAAGUAACAUUGGUUUGCCAGCCCUCCAUCACCAUCGUCUUCGUCUUUAAGUAGCAGCUCCAGGUAAGUUUUUCUUUCUCUUUCCCCCGAUUUGCAGCUUCAAUUCUUAAUGAUAAUUGUAAUAAUAAUAACAAACAUGGAUUGUGGACCAUAAGGAACAGCGAACGAAAGGCCUUUUAUCAAUAUCCUAUAAUCUAGAAUAAAUCGGUCAUUUCUGCUUAUAAAAGCAUCUUACCGCUCAGGAUAUUCUAUACGCAAUACGUGACUUACCUUCAGCUAAAUUCAGCUAAAAAGUGAAUACUCUGGUUAUUAUCACUCCAGAGCUUUAUUUAAAAGCAAGCAUACUACCUGCAAGUCUAUCAGCAGCCUCCUCGGCUGGUAGUAGUAGCUUAACUCUCUCUAGAUAGUGCAUGUCUGCAUAGCUUUAUUAUUUGACACACAGUAAUACUUUGGAAACAUAAAAUAUCCGACACAGACGAGUGAAAGAGCAUAUUCUUUCUUUCCCUGGCAAAUUAGAAUGGCAACAAGAAGAAUUGUAAUCUGGAUUGGUUCAAAAUUAAGAGCCAAAGAUGUUAAUUACCUCAAUGUCUAGGAUUCAAAGCUUUUCACGUUUUCAUUUUGAUUGAUUGUUUCUCUAUAACGUGGAUCAUUUCUGUAGGUUUCAUGGUCUUGUGUCCAGAGACCGGAGCCUGAAGAAAACUCGUCUGAGGUGUGUCAUUGUUUUUCUGAUGUUAAUAAAUUUUAGAGCCCAACUGUUGGAAAAACUAAGAAUGAUGCAUGAUUGGACAUGCUAAAUGAGUUGUUCAUGUUUUCAUUGGUCUAUCUUGUAUAAUACGUACGGUCGAUUUUGUGUUUGAUGCCAGGCCAUCUAUCAAUGCCAACUUCUGGGCUGUAUUUUUCUCUCACUCAUUGACAAUUGCAUGACUAGGAUUUUUCUCUCACUCAUGGAAAUCGAAUUUUUUUUAUGAAGUCCCCGUGGUCUAUAAAUGUUGUUUCUUUGACACCGAAUAGACUUGUUAGGAUGUUGAUACGGAGACCUUGUCAUGUGCUUGAAGUGAUAUUUGUGAUUUCAGGCAAGUGCUCUUAUUUCUUAGAUGACAGAGGAGAGAUAUGCUGUUUUCCAGCAAAUUAAGCAACUUCAGCAAGAACUGGUAAGGUGCUUAGUAUGUGAAUAUAUCAUGUAAGCUUAAUUGCUGAAAUUCUUUUAGGACAACCUUGCCUUUAGAUCAGUUGUGACUUCAAGAAAUAUUAGGUACCAAGAAAAUAAAAAUACAAAGACAAAUCCAUAUUCUGUGAUGAAUUCAGUACAGGAAGAUAUUCCAACCUCAACUUCCAAACCCAAAAAAAAACAUCAUCGAACCCUAACUGAAAAGCUUUUAUCUCUGAUAAAACAAUGCAAAUCGAAAAACCUACUAAAACAAAUCAUCAAAAGGACUUCUGAACGAAGCUUGGGACUUAAUCAAGAAGAUGCCUGGAAAACGAGAUGAAAUUGUGUUGGGGUCAUUGCUUUGUGCCUGUCAGAGGCGUAGAAAUGCAGAUGUUGAUGAAAGGGUCAUUCAAUUGUUUCCAGAGAUGCAAUUAUCUCAUCUAAGAUAUAUGCAAAUAUGAGAAGGUGGGAUGAUUCUGCAAAGAUGAGACAGUUUGGUGUCUCUAGAACCCCUGGCUGUAGCUGGAUUGACGUUGGAGCUCGUGCUCAUGAAUUUCAUGCUGGUGGCAGCUUACAUCAUCAUUCGUAGAACAUAUACCAAUUUCUGAAUGAGAAGAUUAAGAGAGAAGGUUACAUUCCAAAUAUCGGUUGCAUAUAGAGGUGGAAAAGUUGAAUACUUGGUGGCCUCUUUCAGCCAUUGAGCAGUGCAUUCGGAGGGAUUGUAUCUUCUGGUUGAUGACUACAGCCAAAAUGUUGAAUGAUAAGUUGUGUUCUUAAGAGCUUGAGCAAGGAUCUCUAUCUUGCUAAUAGAAAUGUAUAGUUUACCCUCGCAUGAGUAUGUUUCUGUAGAAUGAAAAUGGUUGUUGGAUUGGUACAUGCAUUUGCUGUAAAAUAAUGCAAGUUCAUUGCGGAAAGAAUGCUAAAACUUUUUUUUUUUUCUUUCAGAACUUAAGGAGGGAAUAUUCGUGGAUUGAAAUAAAAUGUACUUGACACCUUUUAAGUUUUUAAGGGAUGCCAUAAAUCAUUUUCAAUAGUCCUCUAAGCCAUAAUGAUGUUCAGUUUCUGAACAGACUUCACUUGGAAUCUGACAAAACCCAAUCUACGAUUAAAACUUGUGUAGAAAGUGCCUCAUAACGCGACUCCAUAUCUAUUUGUCUUUCCCUAGUGGGACCUUGUAAUUUCAAUAGUUGAUGUAAAUGCAGUGUAAAAUGUUUUUAGGCCUUGAUUGUAGUUUCCGCUUGGAAACUAGUUUCUAUAAAAAAUAAAUUUUUUAGAGGUGAAUUAUUUUAUUUUUGUUUAAUUAUUAUUUUUUAAGUUUAUCUAAUAUAUAUUAAACGUUAAAUAUAAUUAUAAUACAAUAUGGAUGAGCCCUUAAUUAGACCCAUCAAAGCUAUCAUUUUCAUCGGUUCCAAUAACAUGAUAUUUUGUUGACAAUCUUAAGAAUUGAGUUAUAUACAUUUAAAUGCAGUGUACUCCAUAUUGUACUUGUUAUGAUCCUUGUUAAAUCUUAAGAAUUGAGUUAUAUAGCAUUAGGGAGACUUCAUUACAAUCCUUAGCAAUGAUUGUGGAGAAGUGAAAAAUUAAUAGCAUUCCUAGUGAAGUCCAAGUGUUCUUGAAUCAAAGCUCCAGGUUAAUUUUCUCAACAUGCAGCCUUGUACAAGAUCAAAUUAUUAAUCUUGUACCAAGAAAACUGGAAAAAGGGUUGUGUUUUCCAUGUUUGAAACCAUUUUCUUGGAAAGUGGUUUCUCGUAGUGUAUCAAAUAUAGGAAAGUUGUUUAUAGAAAAGUGGUUUUCAUGAAACAAAUAAUGCCAGUUUAGUUUUUUAAUGCUCCCUUCUUUGCUUUCUGAACUUUCUUCUUGUUGUAGCAAUUACAGCUGGAAAUAUGAUAAAGCUAAAGGACAUGCUAAGAAGAGAAGAAAUGCAUUUUCAUUUGUCAGUGUUUUAAGCAAGUGGAAGUGGAGGUAAUUAAAGAUUCUAACAAGAGACUUAACUUUAUUUUCAUAUAUUCUUUCACCAGAUACUUGUCAUUUGUCAGUCUAAUUGGAUCUGUUAUUCUUGUAAUUCUCAUUUUCUAGUUUUUUUUUUAGGAAGUUUAAUUUUUUUUUCUCUUUACCUUCAGGUAAAAGCUAAUCAUAUCAAAUACAAGGUUUUCUAGUUUUCUGUACAUCACUUUUGGAACAUAUUUUUGGAAUAAAUUUGAAUUGAUAUUUGUGUUGUAAUGUAUUCCCUUUAAUAUUAAAUAUUUUUGGAUAUUCAUGUUGUAAAUUUGAAUUGACCAUCCGUAAAUAUCAAGUAAUAAUGUAAUAUACAAGGGAAGUAAAAACUCAUGGAAUUGAAAAGCCCUCGCUAUAUAAAAACCCACAAAACCGAAUGGAACUGUAUAAAUUAAUACAGCAUCGCUUGAGCAUGCCUUUAAACUUGUUUAAAUCUUAAAACUAGAAUACACAACGAUGCACCAAGUCUUGGUACCAUCAAGGCUAUGAAAACCCAAACUUUGAUAAAAUGGGAAGGUUGUCCACUAGAAAAUAAUAGCAAUUGUUGAUGCUCACCUCAACAAAGUGAAACCAUGCUCGUCGCCAAUAUGGAUUUAUAUGCAAAACUGCACCUAUCACCAGCAGCACCAUGAUGUAUGCAACCCAAAAGGUCACAUAGAAAACCUCCAUAUCCAUGAAGCCACCAUUAUCUUCAUUGUUCGUUGAAGUUGGUGUUGGUGAUGGUGGCAUAGCCGCACCACAUAUUUUGGGUAGCGGUUCUCCACAAAGAAAAGGAUUGUCUUUGUAGCAGCUCGCCUCAAACGUGGCAAAUUGUGCAACUCUCGCAGGAGUCUUACCGGACAAAUUAUUGUGAGCCACACUAAAAACUUCUAUAGAAAAUAGUUCAGUAAGUCGAGGUGGGAUUUCUCCAUCCAGUUUGUUGUAGGAAAGAUCCAAGCUCUCUAUUUCCUUUAACUUUGAAAAUGUUGGUGGAAUUGGUCCGGUCAAACUGUUGUGCGAAAAGUUCAAUGCCUUGAUCAUACUGAGGUUUCCAAUUUCAGGAGGAAUCUUUCCGGUGAAAUUGUUGCAUGAGAAAUCAAUUCCUAUGAAGUACCAUAUAUUGUCUCCUCUAUAAGAAAGGGAUACAUUCUUUGUUGUAAACUCAAAGGACUGUUGUGAUAAGGACAUAGAAUCAUAAGGAUUAUAUAACUGUGGGGAAGGAUGAGUAGAUAUCAUCCAAGAGAGGAUGUUACCAGAAAGGUGAUUAUGAGAAAGAUCAAUCAAGGUUAAUUGGUCCAACCUUGAUAAUUGAAUUGGGAUUUCACCUUCAAGAUUGUUAUAACUCAAGAGUAGAAAUCUCAA
rnacentral:lncRNA from 1 species